rnacentral:lncRNA from 1 species
AUCAUUGAUAGUUCCGAAUGAGUGCGAAAGCAGACUAGUGUGUAACUUCAUGAUUUAUUUACUGGUUUGCACAUCCAUAUUUCAAAUGGUUUACUGGUCUCCGCCCAAAAGAGAGGGAAAAUGAAAGACUUGUGAGACAAUCCCCAUGGCUUUGUUGACAUCAGUUUGGUGGUUGAUUGAGAAUGAAUGAUCAUACAUACACACAGAUGCUUGUUAGAGGGCUUGUUCUGUUGAAUUAUGCUGGCGGCAUAAACUACAAGGCAUUGUUGAUGAUUGGAGAAUCAAGCUAUUGUUUCCAUUGCUUUGGUUGAUUGAUCCUUUGUUGAAGCAAAGGCCAAUUGCAGAUGCAUUCUUUGAGGAUGUGAAACAAAGGUAUUUUCUCUUCUCUCUAUUCAGUCCUUUGUUCAUUAUCCUAAAACACUAGAGUCAAAAAUUAAAAAACUCUAUGAUGUGUCUAUAUUGGUGCUGCAGGGGAACACUAAGGAACAUUUUACUAUCCAUCUAUGCAAAUAAGGAAUCUGUGGAUGAGACACUGGUAGAGGUAUUAACAUUCUCCACUUAUGUUAAUGAUAUGAGAAUGAUAAGAUCCAAUUUUAUACAUGAAAAAGAUACAAUAAUCUAAAUAGAAACGUAAGUUUACAGGCAUCUUCAAUCAUUUCCUUACAAGUCAGUUUUGUAAAUAUAAAUUCCUAUAAUACUACUAAUACGAUUGUGUUCAAUUAAAUGUACACUUGAAGGAAGCAAGAAAGGUAGCAUAGAGUACUACGUACGUAGCGAGAAGUAAAAUAAUGGGGAAUGAUGAAGAAGCGUCAUCAUCAAAUCGGCCAUCCAUAGGUUUCCCUCUUGGUUUAGCUCUGCUUUUGAUGAUGUUGUUUUGCAUGAGUGGCGUCCUCACUUGUUGCCUCAAUUGGCAUAAAGUUCGAUCCCUCCUCAUUCACGCUGAUAAUGAUAAUAUUCAAACCAAUAUCCACCAUUUGGACACGGUAAUUAACUAUGAGUAAUGAUACAACUACAAAUUCUUGUACAAACUUAUUUUGUACAAACUGAUGUGGCAUGAUAUACAUGUUUAAGCGAAUGGAUUCACAACACAAAUGAGUUGAGUGAAAAUGACAAAUCAAUAUACAAAUAUAUUUUUUAAAAUAUAUCAUGAAUCCAUGAAAAUAAAGUUAAAAAAUCAUGGAUAAAAAUUCAGAAAUAUCAUGAAUGAAACACUAGCAUUCAAAAAAGAAAAGGAAAAAAAAUAACACGCCAAGUAGAUUAAAUCUGCAGGAAAAGAAGGCCAGUAAUUUUACAUGCACCACGUCCCUCGAAAAUUAUUACAUGCAUGUUUUCUUACAUUCAUGAAAAUACUCUAGUGUGAAUUUGUGAUCUUGGCUUUUUCUGUUAUUAUUAAUAGUGAUUAGCAAAAGAGAACUGACAGAUUUAGUAGUGACGAAGCGAGCAACAGCAGCAGGAGAGAGAUAACAGCAGCACAGAGGAAGAUCAACAGCAGUGAAAGAGACAGAGCAGCAGCACCAGAGUGGUGAAGAAGAGAGAAUAGCAACAUGUACCAAAGAUGGAGAAAAAGAGCGAUUAGAUCUGUGAUCAGGGAGAGUGAAUGGGAAGAUCGCGAUAAGAUUUUAGGCGAGAGAAAUAGACGUCACGGAUAAGCCUUGGAUUCUCUAUUUUUUGAUUUAUUUUAGCUUUAUAUUUGUAAUUCAUUGAGAAUAAGUUAUACACGUUCUCAAAUUUAUAACUAUAAAAGAAGAUAUCAAUUAUUUGUUUUACAAUUUGUUUUUUGAAUUUCGGACAUCAAUCGCGCAUUAACUUAGAUUUAUAAAAGGAAAAUGAAAAUAGGGCCCAUAAAUGUUACCGAACAUGCCAUAAUAUUCUCCACUAAUAUGCCAUUUUAACCUCCUACAAAAGAGCCCCUAAGGGCGUGGUCGGAUUAGUUGCAGUGAAGCUGUACCCUCUACUAAAAUCCGGGUUCAAUUCUUGGGGGUGGUAAGGGGGGUAAAAAUUGUAUUUGGGCCUGCCCACCCCCCAUACCUUUAAAAAAAGUUUUUAAAAAAAAAACCUCUUACAAAAGCGGCUACUCAGAAAUCAUAAUUGACCUCAAAACUGCAGAUCAUACGAGAACCCACCAAUAAUGAAUAGGCGCUUAAUGCAUUUUUUUCGAUUGUGAUAGGCCUACCAGGGCCGAACCUAGUGCAAUUGAUGCCAAAAAAUGUCUAUACCUAUACUAGUUUUAUGGGGUGUUGAGGAUCCAUUCACACUCUUUGAUGGACCUGCUGGUUAAUACUCCUCAUUUCUACCUUCUUAACUCUCAAAUGUGCAAGUUAAUUGUAUUGGAAGGAGUGGGACAUCAUCCCCAUGACGACAGACCCAAGGAGAUCCAUGAAAAGCUGCUUUCUCGGUUGGCUGAAACAUUUAAGUGCUGAGGAAUUUACUUUCUCAUCAGCAAGUUUUGAUGAGCAUUAUUUAUUAUUCCUAAUGUAAAAUGGCAAACAACUCUUGUAUUUAUAGUGUUAUAUCAAUUUUUAUUCAACCGCUUGAAUAUCUUUUGGCAUCGAAAGAAUGUAGGAGAAACUGAUCCCUGACAAGUUGUAAAAGCUCCAAAUUGAUUCAAGAAAUGUACCAAAUUAUUCAAUAAAAAGUCAAAUUCAACACAAUAAUAAAGAACAAUGAUUUAUUAAUCUAUAUUGCUCAUGUUAAUGAUAUGUGAAUGAUAAGAUUCAAUUUUUCAUAUGAAAAAGAUACAACAAUCUAAAUAGAAAUAAAGGUUCAUGGGCAUCUUUAACCUUUCCUUACAAGCUAGUUUUUUAAAGGUAAAUUCUACCCAUAGAUGAUACCACGUCAACUAUGGAAUCAAAUGAAACAUUUCGAAUAUGGAAUUGGUAUAAAUACUUGAAAGUAUGGAUACAUGUUUGUUGAUACAGAAAUCUAGUUGAGCUAUGUAGCGACCAGACAACCACGCCAACACUUAAAUUUGUUGUUAUUGGAGAGACGGUUCUAUGCUACUUCCUCACUAUCGAAUAAGUUCCUGCGACCUCGAGUACUUCCUUCAAGAACACCUACGUUUAUAACAUCUAGUUAGAGGAUGCCUGAGGUUUUUCCGGCAUGAACCCUCUGACACUCGAGUGGGAGAUCUGGGUCUACUUGAAAAAACUCAUGACAUGAUUCACGUGACUUAAUUACAACUACUCUGGAUGAAAAAAAGGUUUAAUUUCAUAAAAAAGGAAAAAUAGAGAAGAUAAAAUUGUGAAUAGAGAGAGUAUGAAAAAUUAAGUAAAAAGUUAUCUAAACCCUUUACCUCUAUUCUCUAAAGCUUUAAUAUCCAACCAAAAUUAUGGGCCUCCUCUCUCCCCCAACACCGUUGCUGGGUUGGUCACAUACCUGUGGGAGAGUAGGUAGCGUAACUGCUGGUGAGUGGGCUUCAUGCUCGAAUUCUUUGGAGGAAACCCAUGGGUUGACCUUUAACCAAGUCGCCGAUUUGACUUAAUUGUAGUCUCUCCUCGUGCUUCCUCGAGCAGACUUUGCUCAUGUGACCAGCCACACACCUCAUCGGGGAUAAUAUUUCUCGAUGAGUCAUUUUAGGCCGAGGGGAGCACAUUUUGCUCAUGUGUGCCUAAUCAUGAUGUUUUUCACCCCAAAAUAGAUGUUUAAGCAAACUGAUUCAUAGCAAAAAUGAGUUGGGUGAAAAUGACAGCUAUCAUGUUCUUUUUUUUUUUUUAAAUCAAUAUACAAAUAAGUUUUUUAAAAUAUAUAAGAUUUGACGGAGUUUAACUGUUCCUUCUUUAUUGCUUUUACUUCCACAUGAUAAAACUUUCCCAUAUACAACAAUUUAGAUGUAACAAAAUAGAAAAUUUUCAAAUGUGAUUGCGUUAUAUACAGGAGAGUUGAUGUAGUGCGCAAUGGGAUGAGUGGCAUGUGUUCAUUGGUUGAGAUAUGGGCCAACAACAUACUCUGUAAGAACUCGUUGCGCGUCCUGUAAUGCAUAUGCCCCCAAAAGGCAAAAGCGCCCAAACACACUGCUGUACGGCCAAGGUGGAUGUACGGUACAGCAGUCCAAUAACAAAUCGUUGUGGGUGGUGUGUGCAGAGCAAGAAAGAAGGCCAAUAGUUUUAAUUUUACAAUAUACAUCAUGUGCUUUUCAUACAUUAUACUCUUCACCUAAUAAGGUAAAGUUCAAUACUCUAGUGUGAAUUUGAAAGAAAGUUAAAAGCUGUUUGUUUCAAGAGAAAAUUUACAGAGGAAAAUUAAAGUUCUUAUUUCUUUUACUCUUUUUCCAUUACUUAACAACUGAACAUAUACAGCUUAUAUACUCGAAGAUAUUUACAUACACAUGCUAAAGGAACUAGUAACAAACAUUAACAACUUAUGCUGACUUAUUAAUUCCCGUAACUAAUUCUGCUGAUCUGGCACUGAUGAGCUGGCACAAUUAACUUGCUUCACUAACUAAGACUGAGAACUUCUUUGCCUUCCUGUUCUUCAUAAACGCAGCACAAUGAGCUUCCCUAAUAGAAUUUGCGUUACAUGCACCAGAUCCGUCGAAAGUUAUAACAUGAAUGUUUUGUUCCAAGAACUGAUUUUGGCACUUUCUUCUAUUAUUAAUAGUGAUUUGAAAAAGGAAAACAAUAAAAAUACAUUCAUGAAAAUCUCAGUCUUCUUCGUUAUAUUUGAAAGAUCUGCUUGGGUCUUCCAUUGAAUUCGUAGAGUCUGCAAUGCAAAAAAAAAUGGAUCCCACAUUUUUUCACUCCGCAACACUCACACUCCAAAGGUGGAAAAACAUUAAAGUGGGCUGUCUCAGGAAAGCAAUUGCAUUUCCAAAAACCAUUAAAAUCCUCUUCAUAGAACAAAUAGUAUGCCAAAUGUAAGUGAUUUGAUUCUAAAUAAUUAACUCUUCUCUGAAAUAACGUGUCAUGCGGAUCACAAUCUUUGGUGGUUUCCACUUUGAGCUCACAAGAAAAUGAAAACCAUCUGCCACAAUCUACAUGACGGCCUGAAAAUCCUAAAAUAGCACCAAAUGCAAAGCCCAGUACUCUGUUGUUAUUGAAGAAAUCUGGGGGCAUCUCUAACGUUAUAAAAGAUCCCACACUUUGAAAAUUAAACCACCUUGGAAUUUCAUUCCCAGCUAGUACGUAAUGGCCUUCCUUGGGAAAACCUCUCUAUACCAAAAGAUCAAAAUUUUAAACCCAAAAAAAAGGUAUAAAUUGUAAGGAGAAAGAAUUAAGACACACCUUUUCCCGUACUUCUUUCCAACGGGCAGGUACCACAUGGCCCAUAUAUUGAAUUAUCACGUCAUCUUCAAUAAUUCCUGCAGUAGUAUUACCUUGCAAUUAAAAAUUAUUGCUCUAGUAAAAAAACGUUGCCUAUAAGAUUCAGAACUUAGAGAAUAAACCUGUUAAUGAUUGUGGUGCCGAGUAAUGAUCGGCAUCUAACCAUCGUACAGGGAAUAGAGGCUUUGGUAAGGAUUGAAGCCCCUCACAAUAAUCUAAGAGGAUUUAUCGCAACAUAAAUUGUUGGAUAAUGCUUUCUGGUAUUCUAUUCAUGAAAAUCUCAGUCUUCUUCGUUAUAGUUGAAACAUCUGCUUGGGUCUUCCAUUGAAUUCGUAGAGUCUGCAAUGCCAAAAAAUUGGAUCCCACAUUUUUUCACUCCGCAACACUCACACUCCAAAGGUGGAAAAACAUUAAAGUGGAUUGUCUCAGGAAAGCAAUUGCAUUUCCAAAAACCAUUAAAAUCCUCUUCAUAGAACAAAUAGUAUCCCAAAUGUAAGUGAUCUGAUUCUAAAUAAUUAACUCUUCUUUGAAAUAACAGUGUGUCAUGCGGAUCACAACCUUUGGUGGUUUCCACUUUGAGCUCACAAGAAAAUGAAAACCAUCUGCCAUAAUCUACAUGACGGCCUGAAAAUCCUAAAAUAGCACCAAAUGCAAAGCCCAGUACUCUGUUGUUAUUGAAGAAAUCUGGGGGCAUCUCUAACGUUAUAAAAGAUCCCACACUUUGAAAAUUAAACCACCUUGGAAUUUCAUUCCCAGCUAGUACGUAAUGGCCUUCCUUGGGAAAACCUCUCUAUACCAAAAGAUCAAAAUUUUAAACCCAAAAAAAAGGUAUAAAUUGUAAGGAGAAAGAAUUAAGACACACCUUUUCCCGUACUUCUUUCCAACGGGCAGGUACCACAUGGCCCAUAUAUUGAAUUAUCACGUCAUCUUCAAUAAUUCCUGCAGUAGUAUUACCUUGCAAUUAAAAAUUAUUGCUCUAGUAAAAAAACGUUGCCUAUAAGAUUCAGAACUUAGAGAAUAAACCUGUUAAUGAUUGUGGUGCCGAGUAAUGAUCGGCAUCUAACCAUCGUACAGGGAAUAGAGUGCAUAUGCCCCCAAAAGGCAAAAGCGCCCAAACACACUGCUGUACGGCCAAGGUGGAUGUACGGUACAGCAGUCCAAUAACAAAUCGUUGUGGGUGGUGUGUGCAGAGCAAGAAAGAAGGCCAAUAGUUUUAAUUUUACAAUAUACAUCAUGUGCUUUUCAUACAUUAUACUCUUCACCUAAUAAGGUAAAGUUCAAUACUCUAGUGUGAAUUUGAAAGAAAGUUAAAAGCUGUUUGUUUCAAGAGAAAAUUUACAGAGGAAAAUUAAAGUUCUUAUUUCUUUUACUCUUUUUCCAUUACUUAACAACUGAACAUAUACAGCUUAUAUACUCGAAGAUAUUUACAUACACAUGCUAAAGGAACUAGUAACAAACAUUAACAACUUAUGCUGACUUAUUAAUUCCCGUAACUAAUUCUGCUGAUCUGGCACUGAUGAGCUGGCACAAUUAACUUGCUUCACUAACUAAGACUGAGAACUUCUUUGCCUUCCUGUUCUUCAUAAACGCAGCACAAUGAGCUUCCCUAAUAGAAUUUGCGUUACAUGCACCAGAUCCGUCGAAAGUUAUAACAUGAAUGUUUUGUUCCAAGAACUGAUUUUGGCACUUUCUUCUAUUAUUAAUAGUGAUUUGAAAAAGGAAAACAAUAAAAAUACAUUCAUGAAAAUCUCAGUCUUCUUCGUUAUAUUUGAAAGAUCUGCUUGGGUCUUCCAUUGAAUUCGUAGAGUCUGCAAUGCAAAAAAAAAUGGAUCCCACAUUUUUUCACUCCGCAACACUCACACUCCAAAGGUGGAAAAACAUUAAAGUGGGCUGUCUCAGGAAAGCAAUUGCAUUUCCAAAAACCAUUAAAAUCCUCUUCAUAGAACAAAUAGUAUGCCAAAUGUAAGUGAUUUGAUUCUAAAUAAUUAACUCUUCUCUGAAAUAACGUGUCAUGCGGAUCACAAUCUUUGGUGGUUUCCACUUUGAGCUCACAAGAAAAUGAAAACCAUCUGCCAUAAUCUACAUGACGGCCUGAAAAUCCUAAAAUAGCACCAAAUGCAAAGCCCAGUACUCUGUUGUUAUUGAAGAAAUCUGGGGGCAUCUCUAACGUUAUAAAAGAUCCCACACUUUGAAAAUUAAACCACCUUGGAAUUUCAUUCCCAGCUAGUACGUAAUGGCCUUCCUUGGGAAAACCUCUCUAUACCAAAAGAUCAAAAUUUUAAACCCAAAAAAAAGGUAUAAAUUGUAAGGAGAAAGAAUUAAGACACACCUUUUCCCGUACUUCUUUCCAAUGGGAAGGUACCACAUGGCCCAUAUAUUGAAUUCUCAUGUCAUCUUCAAUAAUUCCUGCAGUAGUAUUACCUUGCAAUUAAAAAUUAUUGCUCUAGUGUAAAAACCUUGCCUAUAAGAUUCAGAACUUAGAGAAUAAACCUGUUAAUGAUUGUGGUGCCGAGUAAUGAUCGGCAUCUAACCAUUGUACAAGGAAUAGAGGCUUUGGUAAGGAUUGAAGCCCCUCACAAUAAUCGAAGAGGAUGUAUCGCAACAUAAAUUGUUGGAUAAUGCUUUCUGGUAUUCUCUCAAUAUUGGUUUUCAAUAGAUUCACUACUAAUGGCGACGAUAACUGGCCAAGCCAUUCGGGCAAUCUCUGAAGAUUUGAGCAACCACGGAGACUAAGAAGUUCAAGAGACUUCAACUUACAGAGGCUGCUUGGGAGACUCUUAAGCCUUUUACAAUCUGAAAGGUCUAACAACCAAAGCCUAAGUAGAAGCUCAAAUGAUGAGGGCAGUUCUUCAAUUGCAGUUCCACUUAAAAAUAGCCGGCCUAUGUUACCAGAUGAGAUCUCUGGAAGCCUCUUCAACUUUGAACAACCCGAAAGAUCAAGUUCGGUAAGAAAUUCCAAAUUAAACAUUCCAGCUGGAAGACUUUUCAGGGUUUUGCUACCGAAUUAAAUAUUCCAGCUGGAAGACUUUUCAGGCUUUUGCUACCUCUUAGAUUCAAGAUAACUAGCUUGUUCAGAUGUGGAAUCAACGUGGGGUUUAGAGUUUUGGCAAUUAACUUCUUGCAGGCAGCAUGGAUUAGCUGGUUUAACUUACUAUAAUGCUGCUCGGUCAAAAAAGAGGCAAAGAUAAAAUCAUUACUAUGUAUGAUAAUUUAACGUUCUUAUUGAAAGAUUGCACAUAUAUAUUAAGGUAAACAUACCUUCUCUGCACUAAGGUUUGAAGGUAAUGACUUCAACGGAUAUCCAUGCCAGUGAAGAUAUUUCACUUCAGCAAAUCUGAGGUCUUGCAAAUGAGACACCUUGCAUUUGUUCUCCCCAUUGAAUGAUGAACUAUAGAAUUUUAAAAAUCUCAAUUUACGCAUCUUUGCGAAAGUAUUGGGAUUUAGAUGGAUCUCUUUUACUUUUGCUUGUUCUCCCCAUUGAAUGAUGAACUAUAGAAUUUUAAAAAUCUCAAUUUACGCAUCUUUGAAAAAGUAUUGGGAUUUAGAUGGAUCUCUUUUACUUUUGACACAUCCAAACAGAUGCCCUCAAUUUUUUCUGUCCCCUAAAAAUAAAUAGAAAAAUCAAUAAAGUUAACAUCAAAUGAAAAAUGAUAUUUAUAUUCCACUAGAGAAUAACACUUCAGCCCCACCAAGACAAAUUUUUGGGGCAAAUUUAUCACUCAUUCACAAUUAAAGGUAGCUUAGUUAUUAAUUCAACUUUAAUUUGUUCUUGUGUGGAGUUUAUGUCGGAUUGGAGUGGGUUUCUCUAUCAUUACUCAAAUUAAAUUUCAAUAAUUCAUGUUUAUUGUUAUUGCUAGGUAGUUAAACUCUUAAUUGCAAAUGUACAAAGAAACAUAAUAGCACAAGUAAUACUUAACAUAAAAAUUCUGUAUGUGUACUAUACAAAUUUAUAUAUCAAUUAUGCUUGCAAACGGUUAUGCAAGUUGUCAAUCGCAUUUAUAAUUUAUUGCUACAUCACCUAACCACUAUUGUUUUUUCCGAUCAUUGUCACUCUUAUAUUAAUUCUAAGACUCAUUUGUUCGAGCAUAUAUAAAUAUAUUCACAUAAUGCCACAAUCUACUGCGGUUUUUAGGAUUAAUUGAUUCUUGUCGAACAAUUUCCCUACCCAAUUCUUGUAGUAAAUCAUGCAUUGUUAUCUUCUUGCGUGAAUCAAUAGCAAUGAGAGAUUUAUCAAUAAGAACACUUAUUCCUAUUUCUUGGUACAAGCCGCUUGCAUUGAAGAAUUUCAUUACAGGAUUUACAUGCUCACCUUGAAAGAAACAAGCACAUCAAGGAAAAUAUUUUUCUCUUUAUCGUCCAAACCAUCAUAACUUAUUUUUAAUACCUCUAGAAUACUUGGAUGGAGGAUUCUUUGCAAUUUAUCUAUUGCACUUUCCCAAAGUUCUUUUUCCCUUUUAUAUAGAAAGCAACCCAAAACUUUAAGAGCUAACGGAACACCUUGAGCAUAUUUCAUUACUUUGCUUGAAAGUUCCUUAUAAACAACAUCAGGAUGGUUUUGUUUGAAGGCAUGUCGACUAAAAAGCUCAAGAGCGUGAUGAUAUUCUAAUGCCUCCAUCUCAUAUAUUUUACUCACCCCCCAAUUUCUAAGCACUUGUUUAUUUCUGGUGGUUAAUAUGAUUCGACUCACUGGCGUCAACCAAUCAAGGCUUCCCAUUAGAGAUUCCAAUUGGCUGAAGCAAGUUACAUCAUCAAAAACAAUCAAAACCUUCAUGCGGCUGAGCCUUCUAAAAUUGAGGUCAAUAUAAGGCAUCGCACUUUUAUCCUUCAAUAAAUUUGAAAGAAGUUUUUGUCGUAAGCAAGCUAAUCCUCCUGGUCUUUGUGACUCUUCUCUAACAUUUUCGAGGAAGCAAGAACCUUCAAAAUCACCCGAGAUUUUGUCAAAAAUAGCUCUAGCGAUUGUUGUUUUGCCUAUACCACCAAUGCCCCAAAUCCCUGAAGCGUAAACACCUUUCGACUCAACACCUAAUAGAGAUUCAAUUUCCUCAACUGUUGAUUCCACUCCCACCAGCUGGUUUUUGUUAUCACGCGGCUGAAACACUUCAUCCAAUCUCUUCAAAAUGUGAUUAACAACUUCAUUGGUAAGGUCUGACUCACGCCUAGCAAAUACAUAAAAUUAGCCAAAGUAACUUCAAAUUAAUAGGAGGAAUUUGCAUUAAAUAUGAAAUAAGGGAGAUUGCCAAUUUUUUCUAUUGAAAUUAAUAUAUACCACCACUGAUCUACAGUCUCCCAGUAAAUUAAUAACUCUUAAAUUAUUAAUAUAUGCAAAUUCUUAAUAUAUGCGUGAGUUUUUUUUUUUUUCGUUCUAAUGGUAGUAUCUGAGUGAGAGGUUGAAAUUGCUUAAAAAACGACAGACCACCCCUAAUUUUGUUACAUAUAUAUUGUAAAAUUCUCGAGGUUUUAUUAUUAAUUCUGUCACGAUUAUUUUAUAAUUAUGAGAGCACAAAAGUGGGGAAGUCAGGAAGUCUAGAACUUGAUGCUUAAAAAUUUUUUAAAUUGUAGUUUAGUAGCCGGAAAUUUAACGAAGAGUGCUGCGUGAAUUUUAUUAUUGUUAAAUAUUAGUAUGAGAAAUUAAAGGUAACUUUUCAAUUUCACCUGAUGUUAAGAGAAUGAAAGCCAGACAAACUGGCUGCUUCCUUCAAAGCUUUCCUCCAAGUCCGCAGCUUCUCAGUAUUCUCCUUUAAUCUUUCUUCGAGCUUCGAAAAUGAAUCCCCAAAACUCCCAGUUUGGUUUCUCACGUCUGAUGGAUCAACCCGAUAGAAAACCGGAAUCACAAUCUGUACAUAAUCUUUCUUGCACUCGAGGAUCUUUACAAGUUCAUCGAGACACCAUCUGGAAGAUGCAUACCCUUCUGAGAAGACGAUAACUGAAAUGGCUGAUGCUUCAAUUGCAUUUGCAAGUGACUCCGAAAUUUCGUCUCCUCUGUUAAGUUGAUCAUCAAUGAAAGUUUGGAUAUUUUGUCGACACAGAGCAGAAUAGAGAUGGCUAGUAAAGUUGUCUCGGGUGUCCUCUCCUCUGAAACUAACAAAAACAUCAUACUUCUUGUUGUUUCGAGAAGAAGAAGCCAUAAUCAAUAGAAACAGUUGAAUUGAUUAAAGAGAGAUUUUGAUUCGGAUGAAAACAAUUAUUGAACCAAAUGUGCGUGACUCUGUAGAAUAAAUCGAUGCUAUGAACCUUCCUUCAAGUUCCGUGAUAGUUUUUCAAUUUCAUCUCAUUGUCCAACCACCGUGCACUCCACGAUGAUUGAUUAAUUCAACUGCCUUGUAGACUUUUAGCUGAAAAUUCCACACGAACACCAUACUUUUCAACACACGUGCUUCUGUGCUUUAAUGCUCAUAACUGCCAGCAAUAAGUAGGGUGAUAUUUUAAUUUUUAUCUCUGAAUUUAUCUUAUCUAUCUUAUCCGUCCUCAUCUCUCAAUUAAUUGUAUUUAGUUUCAAAUUAUUCUUUUUUUUUUUGUUUUAAUAGCUCUUUUUCAUUAUCCUUAGGGUUGAUUGUUAAACAUAUGAAGUCUAACUUUAAAAAAAAAAUUAAUUUUUUUAAUAACUUAUAUCUAAUGUUUAGACAUUUACAUUUAAAUUAAAUAAGUAAAUUUUUGUGACCUUUGCUGAAAUGAGAAAAUGUUUGAAUGAAAAAUAAAUAAUAUAUACUAAAAAUAUUUCUAUUCAGUAAAUUUAUUUCCUAAACUACGAAGCCUAAUCCCUUUUACUCAUUUUGAACUUUGGAGAACAAAUUAACAAAUCUAUUUUAAUUUACUUUUUGUGACUUAAAUUUUUUUAUUAUAUUUGAUCAUAAAGAUUGAUUUGACAUAAGUCUAAAUUGAUUAUUUUAUCCUUAUAAGGUAAAACUAAUUCUUUAACUUCAAUAUUUUCUAAUUUUAUACCAAAUUCAUUAUUUCUAAUACUACUUUAUUAGUAUNNNNNNNNNNNNNNNNNNNNNNNNNNNNNNNNNNNNNNNNNNNNNNNNNNNNNNNNNNNNNNNNNNNNNNNNNNNNNNNNNNNNNNNNNNNNNNNNNNNNNNNNNNNNNNNNNNNNNNNNNNNNNNNNNNNNNNNNNNNNNNNNNNNNNNNNNNNNNNNNNNNNNNNNNNNNNNNNNNNNNNNNNNNNNNNNNNNNNNNNNNNNNNNNNNNNNNNNNNNNNNNNNNNNNNNNNNNNNNNNNNNNNNNNNNUCUGCUGUACCGUACAUCCGCCUUGGCCGUACAGCAGUAAAGGAAUUCGUAUUCCGGAGUUAUUGGCGGCACCCUUAGAUACCUAUUCAAAUCGAUAUCUAUAGGACGGAUUGGGCCAUAUAACAGAAAUAGAAUUGGUUGAAGUUGAUAAAAAAAAGAAAAAGCCCUUCCGCCCUUAUCUCUGUCUAUUUUCGGCCUGCUACAUUUAUCCAUGAAAAAUACAUCGAACAUGUUUUAUCUACCCAAUCAUUUUUGUCUAGUAAUUGGUUAUUAAAUGUCUUUUAUUAUAAUUAAAUGUUUCCCGCAUUCCGUAGAAUAAUAUUAUAUGUAAUAAAAUAACACAAAAUUUAUUACACAAGGCACAAAUGACAAAAAAUAAUUUUCAUCUUGUAGUGAACUUUUCUUAUUGAUAAUGUACUAUUUUUUUUAUUCUAUUUACUUCUGUGAACAUAUAAUUGUAGGCAUCCACAAAUGUUAAGGAUAAGCAAUUAUUUUCCUUUAAAGUUAUUUCACAACUCCUGUACUUAUAUCAUCAAUUGCUUGACCUUUAGUUAUUUUCCUUGCUAACUUGAGUGAGACUCACCGAUACAGCUACUAUUGGAUUUCUUGGAUGAAGCUGCUCAGAAGCCAAUAGUGCUUGUACGUAAUUCUGUUCGAAGCCUACCUUGUGUUUUUGCUGCCUCAGGUAUAUUAAUUUAACUUCCUCUUGGGCAUCAGAUAUUCGUCAUCAUGCUUGCAAAGAAACACUUGCACCUGAUUAGCCUUUUCGGUUAAUAUGGUUUGCGAAAACCUGCUAUAUUUUCUACCAUAAAAAUCCAGUCAAACACUUGUUCGAGGUCUUGUUUUGUUGAAUUGUGCUGGUGGCAGCAUGAACAACAAGGCAAUUGUUGAUGAUUGGAGAAUCAAGCCACGGUUGCCAUUGCUUUGGUUCAUUCAUUUCUUGUCGAAGCAAAGGCCAAUUGCAGAUGCAAUCUUUCAAGAUGUAAAACGAAGGUAUUUUCUCUUCUCUCUAUUCAGUCCAUUUUUCGUUAUCCUAAAACACUAGAGUCUAAAAUUAAAAAAUUCUAUGAUGUGUAUAUAUUGGUGCUAUAGGGAAACACUGAGGAACAUUUUACCGUCCAUCUAUGCAAAUAAGAAAUCUGUGGAUGAAACACUGGUAGAGGUAUUAAUAUUCUCCACUUAUGUGCCAUUUUAAACUCUUACAAAAAUGGCUACUCAGAAUUCAUUAAUUGACCUAAAAAUUGCAGAUCAUACGAGAACCCGCCAAUGAUGAAGGUGCACUCGAUGCAUUUGUUUCGAUUGUGACAGGCCCCCCAGGGCCGAACCCAGUGCAAUUGAUGCCAUCAAUCUCUAUACCUGAGGAACAUUUUACUGUCCAUCUAUGCAAAUAAGAAGUCUUAUUCAACCGCUUGAAUAUCUUUUGGCGCCGAAAAGAAUGUAGGAGAAACUGAUCCCUGACAAGUUGUAGAAGCUCCAAAUUGAUUCAAGGCAUAUAUCAAAUUAUUCAAUAAAAAGUCAAAUUCAGCACAAUAAUAAAGAACAAUAUUGAUUUAGUAAUCCAUAUUGCUCAUGUUAACGAUAUGUGAAUGAUACGAUCCAAUUUUAUACAUGAAAAAGAUACAAUAAUCUAAAUCGAAAUAUAAUUUCACAGGCAUCUUCAAUCCUUUCCUUACAAGUCAGUUUUAUAAAUAUAAAUUCCACCCAUAGACGAUACCAUAUCAACUAUGGAAUCAAAGGCACCAUUCAAAAUAUGGAAUUGCUAUAGUGAAACGACCCGCCCCGAAUCCCCCCAGGCGAGUCUAUCUAGUCUCAUCAAAACGGACUUAAUAAAAAUUCUAUUAGUAAAGAUUCUGUCGAAAAUUCGACAAAAUCUCCUUUAUAUAUAUAACACUCCCAAUCUACAAAUAUGAAUAUAACACUCCCAAUACAAUUCAAUAUACAGCAAACUCCAGUGAUCAACAUCCUCAACCAAAAUGCUGAGUUUUAUAUCUCCAGAGUCUCAAAAGAUAAUAUUAUAACUAAUAUUAAUAUAUCAAUUUAUUCUUAAUCCCAAAAGAAUAAUAUUACAAAAUUAUACAAUACCAAAAGAACAAGAUGACCAAGAUGUCCUAACAAAAACAUCUAUAUCUUCUAACACCAUCACGUGGCCAAGACUCAAAAUAUAUUUACAGUCGCUGGGUCGGUCUGGUGUACCUGCAAUCUCCUGGUGAGGGGGGAAAAUGUAAUAAAAACGGGGUGAGUUUAAAACUCAAUGAGAUCAGUGAGUGGAUAGUAGUUUUGAAAAUUAAUUCUUACUUUAAAAGAAAUAAUCAUAUCAUUUCCAAAUACGAUUUCAUUAAACCAGAAGCGAGAAACCAGUAAUAAAUCAUUAAACAUUUAAAUCAUAUUAUUAACCAUGGAAAUCAUAUCACAAUAUCAUAUAGAAUUCACAAAUAUGAAAAUCAUCACCAAACAAGUACCCAGGGAAAUAAUCUCGUCAUAUCCGGACCUCAACGGACGGGUAAUAACGUACUAUCUGGAUAACGUCACGCCUCGGAGUUACAUGGAUAGACAGGGAAAUACCAUCUCAUAUCUCAUCAUAUCUGUGCAUGCAUAAUUUAGUCCCCAAAGGAUAAAAGCGCCCCAGCACACGGCCCAAAGCCUCUGUGUGUACUCAGACGGGCCCCAAAGGCCUGUAUCUCAUCUGUAUCAUCUGUAUCUCAAUAUAUGUCUAUAUCUCAUAUCUGUAUCUCUAUAAUCAUCAUACUGCAUGCAUAUGCCCCCAAAAGGCAAAAGCGCCCAAACACACGGCCCAAAGCCUCUAUGUGUGUUCAGACGGGCCCCGAAGGCCUCUCAUCUCAUCCGUAUGACAUGUAUCUGGAGGAUAAGGGUACUAUCUAAUGAUUUAAAAAACAAUCAUUAUACUCAUAUUCACAUACAUUUUAACCAUACUUUAAAUCAUACCACAUUUGAAUCCACUUUUCUCAUCUUUAAAAUACUAUAAUGCUUAUUCAAAGUCGAUACACAAAAUCAUUAAUCAAACAUUUUAAUAUAAUAUCAAUGCGUGUAUAAAAUCCAUUUCAAGGAAAUCAUUAAAUCAGAACAUUUAAAAUACUUAUUUUGCAAACAUGCUUUAGUAUCAUAAUUAACCAUGAAAAUAGAUUUUGUAUAUUCCACUCACAGUGACAGUGUUCACGGUCGGUUAUCGUCCACGUCCGCGGACCGGUUCUUGCUCGCGGAUCCUCCUAAAUCAAGGAAACGACAUAAUUAUUUUCCGUAAAUCGGAAUUAUGACUAAAUUUUAUGCAAUAAACUCAAACGAACAUCUAUCCAUAAUUGACAACUCCCGUGUCCAUAAAAUUACUAAACUACCCUUGAGUCCGUGAAUCAUUAACAUACUCCGAAAUCGUAAAUCACCGAAUUAUCCUCGGAAUCGUAAUUACACCCAAUCCUCAAUUUUAGGAAUUACUAAAAUAUCCACAGGCUCAGAAAUUACAAAAUUGCCCUCAUAGUGUGAAAUUACCAAAAUGCCCUUGCUGGUCAACGGUCACCGAAAUUUGGUCAACGCUGGCUAGGAAUCUCAAAUCUGAAAGUUCCAAUCACGCUGAGUUCAAUGGUACCGGCGGUGAGCUCCAACGCGCGGCAAAGAUGCCGGAAUCUAGCUCGGCACGGCAGCCGUGAAUUCCAACAAUCCACCGGCGGCAAACAGUGACUCUCGGUGCCUAUGGAUGGUCGGAAAUGGAAGAGGGAGUCAUGAGGAACAAAAUCCAACUGGUGGUGUCACCCAAAACUGGCGAAAAUCCCGGUGGAGUAAAGUGAAACAGUCGCGGGUUUCAAGCUUCGAUCGCCGGCGUUCCGGUUGGGUUUCGUCGGCUAUGAUGGCAGGGAACGACGGUCAGCUUCUAAGCUUCAGAUUGGUACCAAGCUCGGCCAAAACGGUGGCCGGAAAUGGGAGUUAUGGCCGGGUCAAGGUCGCAGGUUCCAGGUCGGAUUUUCGGGUCGGGUUGACGGCUUCUCUCUCUCACUCUCUCACACACGUGUGGCUUCUGUUUUUGCUCUGUUUUUUCCAGCUUCUUCUUUUGUUUAUUAAUAAAAUCCUUAACCGCCUCAUUUUAUUUUAAAUUCACAUAUGUUACAUAUAGAUACUUGAAAAAGUACAUACAUGUUUAAGCAAAUGGAUUCACAACACAAAGUGCGCAACGGGGUGAGUGGCAUGUUUUCAUUGAUAUGAGCCCACAAUAUAGCUCCGCCAAUAAGAACUGUUUCACGUUCUGUAAUAUCCCACAUCACUAGCUUGUGAAUUUUAUUACUGGUUUAUAAGUCAUAUGUUCUCCUAACUAUGUGGAUGUGUUUUGGGUGGUAAAGCUCAAUAACCAGUAAUUUUAAUUUUACAAUAUUAUACUCAUCACCUAAUAAGGUAUCGUUCAAUACUCUAGUGUGAAUUUGUGUUACACGCACUGAUUUUUGGCAUUUUCUCCUAUUAUUAAUAGUGAUUAGAAAAAGGAAAACAAGAAAAAUACAUUCAUGAAAAUCUCAGUCUUCUUCGUUGUAGUUGAAACAUGUGCUUGGAUCUUCCAUUGAAUUCGUAGAAAGGAACACCUUGAGCAUAUUUCAUUGCCUGGCUUGAAAGUUCCUCAUAACCAACAUCAGGAUGGUUUUGUUAGAAGGCAUGUAGACUAAAAAGCUCAAGAGCGUGAUGAUAUUCUAAUGCCUCCAUCUCAUAUAUUUUACUCACCCCCCAAUUUCUAAGCACUUGUUUAUUUCUGGUGGUUAUUAUGAUUCGACUCACAGGCGUCAACCAAUCAAGACUUUUAAUUAUAGAUUCUAAUUGGAUGAAGCAAGUCACAUCAUCAAAAACAAUCAGAAACUUCGUGAGGCUGAGCCUUCUAAAAUUGAGACCAAUAUCAAGACUCACAUUUUUAUCCUUCAAUAAAUUUGAAAUAAGUUUUUGUCGCAAGCAAGCUAAUACUCCCGGUUUUUGUGACUCUUGUCUAACAUUUUCAAGGAAGCAAGAACCCUCAAAAUCACUAGAGAUUUUGUCGAAAGUAGCUCUAGCGAUUGUUGUUUUGCCUAUACCACCAAUGCCCCAAAUCCCUAAAGUGUAAACAUCUUUCGACUCAACACCUAGUAGAGAUUCAAUUUCCUCAACUCUUGAUUCUACUCCAACCAGCUGGUUUUUGUUAUCACUCGGCCGAAACACUUCAUCUAGCAGUCUCUUUAAAAUGUGAUUGACAACUUCGUUUAUAAGUUCCGAUUCAGCCUACCAAAUACAUAAAAUUAGCAGCAGGGAUUUGCAUCAAAUAUGAAAUAAGGGAGAUUGCUAGUUUUUCAAUUGAAAUUAAUAUAUACCACUUAUUUUUUUCAUAAGGAUAAUAUUGUAAAGUGAUGGUACCACGAGUUAUUCAAUAUUGUAAAAAUAGUCAGAAUAGGUGGUAUAUUUUGAUUUGAGUAAGGCAAUUUACAAUCUCCCUAUAAAUUAAUAACUCUUUAAUUACUUGAAUAUGUUAUAUGUGGAAGAGAUUUUUUUUCCCCUAAUGGUAUAUGGGUGAGAGAUUGAAAUUGAUUAAAAACGACAAAACACCAUUAAUUUUGUUAAAAUAUAUUGUAAACUUCUGGAGCUUUUAUUAUUAAUUCUGCAAAAAUUCUUCUAUAGGAGUUCAAAAGUGGGGAAGUUCAAGAAGUCUAGAAUUUGAUGCCUGAAAAAAUUUAAAAGUGUGGUUUAGCAUCUGGAAAAUUUAACUAAGAGUGCUGCGUGAAUUUUAUGUACAACGUUGAAUAUUAGUGGGCGAAAUUAAGAGUAACUUUUUCACCUGAUGCUCUGAGAAGGAAAGCCAGACAAAGUGGCUGCUUCCUUCAAAGCAUUCCUCCAAAGUUUGCAGCUUCUUUGAAUUCUCCUUUACUCUUUCUUCAAGCUUCAAAAAUGAAUCCCCGAAACUCCCAGUUUGGUUUCUCACGUCUGAUGGAUCAACCCGCUAGAAAACCGGAAUCAGAAUCUGUGCAUACUCUUUCUUGCACUCGAGGAUCUUUACAAGUUCAUCGAGACACCAUCUGGAAGAAGCGUAUGAUUCAGAGAAAAUGAUAACUGAAAUGGCUGAUGCUUCAAUUGCGUUCACAAGAGACUCUGAAAUUUCAUCUCCUCUGUUGAGCUGGUCAUCAAUGAAAGUUUGGAUAUUUUGUCGAGACAGAGCUGAAUAGAGAUGGCUAGUAAAGUUGUCACGGGUGUCCUCUCCUCUGAAACUAACAAAAACAUCAUAUUUCUUGUUGUUUCGAUAAGAAGAAGCCAUAAUCAACAGAGAAGAAGAGGUCAUAAUUAACAGAAACAGUUGGAUUGAUUAGGGAGAGAUUUUGAUGGGAGGAAAACAAUUAUUGAAUCCAAUGUGGUUGACUCUGUAGAAUAAAUCGAUGCUAUGAACCUCCCUUGAAGUUCGGUGAUAAUUUUUUCAACAUCUCAUUGUCCAAGCACCGUGGACUGUACGAUGACUGAAUUUACUUUGUGGACUUUUUGCUGAAAUUUCCACAUGACACCAUACUUUCAACACACGGCUUCUGUGCUUUCACACUCCCAAGUCAUAACUAUCAGCAACGACCAGGGAAAUAUUUUAAUUUUUAUUGCUCAAUUUAUCGUAUCAGUCCUCGUCUCUCAGUUAAUUGUAUUUAAUUUUGAAAAUUGUCUUAUUUAUCAUUUUUGUUUAAAACAAAAGCUACCUAACCUUUUUUUUUCCCUUAAUGUUGCUUGUUUAUUUAUUUAUUUGUUUUUUGGGGGAACUUAUGUCUAAGUUUUAGAUAUUUACAUUUGAAUACAAAAAGUGAAUUUUGUGACUUUUAUCAAAAUGAAAACAUAUUGAAUGGAAAGUAAAUACUAUAUCUUAAAGAUAUUUCUAUUAAAUAUAGUUAUUUCUUAAACUAUAAAGUUUAAUCCAUUUAUUCAUUUUGACUUAUAAGGACAAAAAUGUCAAAUAACCAUGUUUAUUUUUUAAAAAAAUUAUAAAAAAUAAGACGUCACUUAAUUUUCAGAUAUUAAAAAAAAAAUAAACAUAUUAUUUAGACAUUUAUGUUAAGACUUCACCCAAAUUCAAGCCUAUUCAAAUUUUAAAUUAAAAAAAAUGCUACCUUAGUACUCUUUGAGUCUCUCGAGUAGUGAUGAAAAUUAAUUUUAUUUUAUUUUCUAUGUUGGACUAGGCUUCAAUUGUAUAUUAUUGUAUCUUAUGUUUGAAAAUCUUUUAAACUAUUUUAAAAAUCGAUAUUAUCUACCAAACAAACAUUUUAUUUCAACUACUUAUGACUUAUUUGAUCCAUAAAUUAAAUAAUGGAUGGUGCGUUCGGUUAGUUUCUCAAUAAAAUAGAUCUAGAAACUGAUGUAGUUCAAAAAGGCAUCUUUUGUUAUCACACUAGUAGCAGAAGUAAAUAUGUGAAAUAAAAUAUUGGAAAUAUAUUCGUGGGGAAUAAUAAUUGUGGAAAAUUGGAGAAAUAAUUGAUGAAACUUUAUAGGUACAAAGAAUAAUAAUCAUAAUAGUAAACUGUAUGAAUUAACAGUGCUGCGAGACACAAUAUUGUUUUCCUCAAGACGUUAUUUACUCCCUCUUCCAAUUGAGUGAUAUACAUAAGUUAAGCAAAUAUGCCUCCAUGAUAUAAUGAAGUGCUUGUGUAUAUUUGCCUGUAUUAUGCACUAACAAAAGCAAACCUAAAUAUCUUUGUAUGUUGUAAGCUUACGAAAAACUAAUAUAUUGUUCCUGCAAAAAAUAAUAUAUUAAGGAUUUGAUGCAUAAAAUAUAGAUGUAUUGUGCAUAAAUUCGUUUUAGGAAAGAGGGGUUAAAAUAAAAAAAAGAAAAAAGAAAAAAAAGGGUGGUGCAAGAAGAUAUAUGGAUCACAAAAUGGCGUAACUUCUAUUUAUAGAAAAUGUUGCGACUUUUCUUUAUAGAUAAUCAUGUGCUCCUUCAUUUAGGUUGUCUUUUACUUUUAUUUAUAGGUAAUGUUCUAUGCUCUAGUGUGAAUUUGUGUUGCUUGCACCAAAUCCCUCGAAGGUAAUUGCAUGCACCUGAUCCCUCCAAAGUUAUUACAUGAAUAUUUUGUUCCAAGAACUGAUUUUAGCAUUUUCUCCUAUUAUUAAUAAUCAUUAGAUAAAGGAAAACAAUAAAAAUAGAUUCAUGAAAAUAUCAGUCUUCUACGUUACAGUUGAAACAUCUGCUUGGAUCUUACAUUGAAUUCAUAGAAUCUGGGGUGUCAAGUAAAUGGAUCCCACAUUUUUUCACCCCGCAGCACUGGCACUCCAAAGGUGGAAAAACAUUAAAUUGGACAGCCUCGGGAAUGCAAUUGCAUUUCCAAAAACCAUUAAAAUCCUCUUCACAGAACAGAUAGUACCCAAAAUGUAAGUGAUCUGAUUCUACAUAAUUAACUCUGCUUUGAAAUAACCGUGUGUCAUGCAGAUCACAAUCUUUGGUGGUUUUUACUUUGAGCUCACAAGAAAAUGAAAACCAUCUGCCAUAAUCAACAUGACGGUCUGAAAAUGCUAAAAUAGCACUAAAUACAAUGCCCUGUACUCUGCUAUUAUAGAAGAAAUCUGGUGGCAUCUCCCAGGUUAUAAAAGAUCCCACACUUUGGAACUUAAACCACUUUGGAAUUUCACUCCCAGGCAGUACGAUAUGAGCCUUGUCCGUGGAAAAAUCUCCCUAUACCAAAAAAUCAUAAUUUUAAACCCAAAAAAAAAUUGUAUAAAUUGAAAGGAAACAGAGUUAAAGACACCUUUUCCCGUAUUUCUUUCCAACGGACAGCUAGCACAUGGCCCAUAUGCUGAAUUCUCAGGGCAUCUUCAACAAUUCCUGCAGUAUAAUUACCUUUCAAUUUAAAAUUAUUGCUCUGCUCAAAAGACACUGCUAUAAGAUUCAGAACUUAGAGAAUAAACCUAAUAAUGAUUGCAGUGGGCAAUGAUCGGCAUCUAACCCUCGUGCAAGGAAUGGAGGCUUUGGAAAGGAUUGAAGCCUCUCACUAUAAUUUAAGAGGAGGUAUCGCAACACAAAAAGUUGGAUAAUGCUUUCUGGUAUUCUCUCAAUAUUGGUUUUCGCUAGAUUCAAUAAUAUUGGCGAGGAUAACUGGCCAAGACAUUCGGGCAAUCUCUGAAGAUUUGAGCAACCAUGGAGAUCAAGAACUCCAAGAGAUUUCAACUUACAUAGGCUGCUUGUGAGACACUUAAGCCUUUUACAAUCUGAAAGGUCCAAGUAACCGAGCCUAUGUAGAAGCUCAAUUGAUGAGGGCAGUUCUUUAAUUGCAGUCCCCCUUAAAAGUAACCAGCUUAUAUUACCUGAUAAGAUCUCCGGAAGCCUCUUCAGUUUUGAGCAGCCCGAAAGAUCAAGUUUGAUAAGAAAUUCCAAAUUAAAUAUUCUAGCUGGAAGACUUUUCAGGCUUUUGCUACCUCUUAGAUUCAAGAUAACUAGCUUGUUCAGACUUGGCAUCAACGUGGGAUUUGGAGUUUUGGCAAUUAGCUUAUUGCAGGCAGCAUGGAUUAUCUGGUUUAGCUUACUAUAAUGCUGCUCGGUCAAAAAAGAGGCCAAGACAAAAUCGUUACCACGUAUAAUAAUUUAAUGUUGUAAUUUGAAAGAUUGCACAUGUAUAAUAAGAUAUGCAUACCUUCACACAAUCCCAAAGUCGUUCAAUGUCACUAUCAGGCACUUCAAGUAACACAAGUUUCUCUGCACCAAGGUUUGAAGGCAAUGACUUCAACGGAUAUCCAUACCAGUGAAGAUAUUUCACUUCAGCAAAUCCGGAAUCUUGCAAAUAAGAUAUCUUACAUUUGUUCUCUCCAUUGACUGAUGAACUAUAGAACUUUAAAAAUAUCAAUUUAGGCAUCUGUGUGAAAGUAUUGGGAUUUAGACGGAGCUCUUUUACUUUUGACAUAUCGAAACAUAUGCCCUCAAUUUUUUCUGUCCCCUAAAAAUAAAUGAAAAAGCAAUAAAGUUAAAAUCAAAUGAAAUAUAUGUGUAUUCCAUCAAUGAAUCGCACUUCAACCCCUCCAAGUCAAAUUUUUGGGGCAAGUUUCUCACUAAUUCACAAUUAGAGGUAGCUUAGUUAAUAAUUCAACUUUUUAUUUAUUAUUUAGUCGAGUUUAUGUGGGAUUGGAGUGGACUCUUCAUCAUUUCUCAAAUCAAUAAUUCAUGUUUUUAGUUAUUGCUAGGCAGUUAAACUUUUAAUUGCAAAUGCACAAAGAAACAUAAUAACACAAGUAAUACUUAAUAUAAAAAUUCCGUCUGUGUACUAUACAAAUUGGCAUAUCAAUUAUGCUUGCAAACGAUUAUGCAAGUUGUCAUGGCAUUUAUAAUUUAUUGCUACGUCAUCUAACCGCUAUGGUUUUUUCCAAUCAUUGUUGCUCUUCUAUUAAUUCUAAGACUCAUCAGUUCGAGCAGAUAUAAAUAUAUUCAUAUCAAGUUUGUAAAUGCUAGAAUAUUUCAAAAUAAUUAUUUUCAUUACUAGAUCUACAUCCUCACCUUGAAAGAAACAAGCAACAUCGAGGAAAAUAUUUUUCUCCUUAUCGUCCAAACUAUCAUAACUUAUUUUUAAUACCUCAAGAAUACUUGGAUGGAGGAUUCUUUGCAAUUUAUCUAUUGCACUUUCCCAGACUUCUUUUUCCCUUUUAUGCAGAAAGCAACCCAAAACUUUAAGAGCUAAAGGAACACCUUGAGCAUAUUUCAUUACUUUGCUUGAAAGUUCCUCAUAACCAACAUCAGGAUGGUUUUGUUUGAAGGCAUGUCGACUAAAAAGCUCAAUAGCGUGAUGAUAUUCUAAUGCCUUCAUCUCAUAGAUUUUCCUCACCCCCCAAUUUCUAAGCACUUGUUUAUUUCUGGUGGUUAUUAUGAUUCGACUCACAGGCGUCAACCAAUCAAGACUUCCAAUUAAAGAUUCUAAUUGGCUGAAGCAAGUCACAUCAUCAAAAACAAUCAAAACCUUCAUGCGGCUGAGCCUUCUAAAAUUGAGGUCAAUAUAAGGCAUCACAUUUUUAUCCUUCAAUAAAUUUGAAAGAAGUUUUUGUCGUAAGCAAGCUAAUCCUCCUGGUCUUUGUGACUCAUCUCUAACGUUUUCGAGGAAGCAAGAACCUUCAAAAUCGCCCGAGAUUUUGUCGAAAAUAGCUCUAGCAAUUGCUGUUUUGCCUAUACCACCAAUGCCCCAAAUCCCUAAAGCAUAAACAUCUUUCGACUCAACACCUAAUAGGGAUUCAAUUUCCUCAACUGUUGAUUCCACUCCAACCAGCUGGUUUUUGUUAUCACGGGGCUCAAAGACUUCAUCCAGCAGUCUCUUCAAAAUGUGAUUAACAACUUCAUUUGUAAGUUCCGACUCACACCUAGCAAAUACAUAAAAUUAGCCAAAGUAACUUCAAAUUAAUACGAGGAAUUUGCAUUAAGUAUGAAAUAAGGGAGAUUGUCAGUUUUCUUAUUGAAAACUAAUUUAAUAACUCUUAAAUUAAUUUAAUAACUCUUAAAGGAGUAAAUUAAUUUGCAUUAAUUUACAAUCUCCUAGUAAAUUAAUAACUCUUAAAUUACAAGAAUAUGUGUGAGUUUUUUUUUUUUUUGAAAAAUUAUCACUGCACUACCUCUCUUUUGUCUUAUGUUCAUCCAAUAGCCACAAACUUUUAAUAUAUUCUUUUCACCACCUUUCUUUUUAAAUUUGUAUCAAUUAGCCACUUUUACACUAACACCGUUAAAUAAUUUAAACAAAAUGACAAAUUUACCCCUAAAUAAACUAAAAGAUCAUUUUAUUUUAUAAAAAUUUUGAAAAAUAAAAAAUUAUAAUUAAACAUAAAUCCCAAAUAGAGGUGCUCAGCCAAUUUUUAUUAAAUUUAGAUUUUACAAAAUUUUAAUAAUUAUUUUUAUUAAAUUAUAAUUUUGCAAUAUUUUAAUAAAAAUAACUGAAUUUAUUAUUAAAAAAUUAUAAUUUUGUAAACUUUUAUUAAAAUAAAUGAAUUUAUUUAUUAAAAAAAUCCCAAAAUUUUAAUAAUCUGCUGUACGGCCAAGGCGGAUGUACGGUACUUUAUAAUUAUAAUUUUUAUUUUCAAAGUUUUUAUAAGAUAAAAAUGGUCUUUUAAUUUAUUUAAGAGUAAAAUUAUCAUUUCAUUUAAAUUAUUUUACGGUGUUAGUGCAAAAGUGGCUAAUUGAUACAAAUUUUUAAAAAAAAUGUGGUGCAAAGAACAUGUGAGAAAUUUGUAGUGAUUGGAUGAACAUUAGGUAAAAGAGAGGUGAUACAAAUUUUAAAAAAAAAUGUGGUGCAGAGAAUUAUAAAAAAUUAUCAUUUCCCUUUUUUUUUAUAAUGGUGGCAUAUGAGUGAGAGGUUGCAAUUGCUUAAAAACGACAGACCGCCGCUAAUUUUGUUAGAUAUAUAUUGUAAAAUUCUCGAGCUUUUAUUAUUAAUUCUUUCAAAAUUAUUUUGUAAUUAUGGGGGUACAAAAGUUGGGAAGUCAGGAAGUUUAGAAUUUGAUGCUUAAAAAUUUUUAAAAGUGUAGUUUAGCAUCUGGAAAAUUUAAAAAAGAAAAAAGAAAAAUACCCAAUACUUUAUAGUUUUAUUUUGAAAGAAAUUAAUUUGAUUAGCAAGUAGCUUAAUUUGACUAGCAAGUAGCUUAAUGUUUUAGGCCUAGCUCCUAUUCAUAUAUCUUUACAGUGUUGAAUAUUAGUAUACGAAAUUAAAAGUAGCUUUUCACCUGAUGUUAAGAGAAUGAAAGCCAGACAAACUGGCUGCUUCCUUCAAAGCAUUCCUCCAAGUCUGGAGCUUGUCAGUAUUCACCUUUAAUCUUUCUUCGAGCUUCGAAAAUGAAUCCCCAAAACUCCCAGUUUGGUUUCUCACGUCUGAUGGAUCAACCCGAUAGAAAACCGGAAUCACAAUCUGUACAUAAUCUUUCUUGCACUCGAGGAUCUUUACAAGUUCAUCGAGACACCAUCUGGAAGAUGCAUACCCUUCUGAGAAGACGAUAACUGAAAUGGCUGAUGCUUCAAUUGCAUUUGCAAGUGACUCCGAAAUUUCGUCUCCUCUGUUAAGUUGAUCAUCAAUGAAAGUUUGGAUAUUUUGUCGACACAGAGCAGAAUAGAGAUGGCUAGUAAAGUUGUCUCGGGUGUCCUCUCCUCUGAAACUAACAAAAACAUCAUACUUCUUGUUGUUUCGAGAAGAAGAAGCCAUAAUCAAUAGAAACAGUUGAAUUGAUUAAAGAGAGAUUUUGAUUCGGAUGAAAACAAUUAUUGAACCAAAUGUGCGUGACUCUGUAGAAUAAAUCGAUGCCAUGAACCUUCCUUCAAGUUCCGUGAUAAUUUUUCAAUUUCAUCUCACUGUCCAAGCACCGUGCACUCCAUGAUGAUUGAUUAAUUCAACUGCUUUGUAGACUUUUAGCUGAAAAUUCCACACGAACGCCAUACUUGUGCAAAAGUGGCUAAUUGAUACAAAUUUUUAAAAAAAAUGUGGUGCAAAGAACAUGUGAGAAAUUUGUAGUGAUUGGAUGAACAUUAGGUAAAAGAGAGGUGAUACAAAUUUUAAAAAAAAAUGUGGUGCAGAGAAUUAUAAAAAAUUAUCAUUUCCCUUUUUUUUUAUAAUGGUGGCAUAUGAGUGAGAGGUUGCAAUUGCUUAAAAACGACAGACCGCCGCUAAUUUUGUUAGAUAUAUAUUGUAAAAUUCUCGAGCUUUUAUUAUUAAUUCUUUCAAAAUUAUUUUGUAAUUAUGGGGGUACAAAAGUUGGGAAGUCAGGAAGUUUAGAAUUUGAUGCUUAAAAAUUUUUAAAAGUGUAGUUUAGCAUCUGGAAAAUUUAAAAAAGAAAAAAGAAAAAUACCCAAUACUUUAUAGUUUUAUUUUGAAAGAAAUUAAUUUGAUUAGCAAGUAGCUUAAUUUGACUAGCAAGUAGCUUAAUGUUUUAGGCCUAGCUCCUAUUCAUAUAUCUUUACAGUGUUGAAUAUUAGUAUACGAAAUUAAAAGUAGCUUUUCACCUGAUGUUAAGAGAAUGAAAGCCAGACAAACUGGCUGCUUCCUUCAAAGCAUUCCUCCAAGUCUGGAGCUUGUCAGUAUUCACCUUUAAUCUUUCUUCGAGCUUCGAAAAUGAAUCCCCAAAACUCCCAGUUUGGUUUCUCACGUCUGAUGGAUCAACCCGAUAGAAAACCGGAAUCACAAUCUGUACAUAAUCUUUCUUGCACUCGAGGAUCUUUACAAGUUCAUCGAGACACCAUCUGGAAGAUGCAUACCCUUCUGAGAAGACGAUAACUGAAAUGGCUGAUGCUUCAAUUGCAUUUGCAAGUGACUCCGAAAUUUCGUCUCCUCUGUUAAGUUGAUCAUCAAUGAAAGUUUGGAUAUUUUGUCGACACAGAGCAGAAUAGAGAUGGCUAGUAAAGUUGUCUCGGGUGUCCUCUCCUCUGAAACUAACAAAAACAUCAUACUUCUUGUUGUUUCGAGAAGAAGAAGCCAUAAUCAAUAGAAACAGUUGAAUUGAUUAAAGAGAGAUUUUGAUUCGGAUGAAAACAAUUAUUGAACUAAAUGUGCGCGACUCUGUANNNNNNNNNNNNNNNNNNNNNNNNNNNNNNNNNNNNNNNNNNNNNNNNNNNNNNNNNNNNNNNNNNNNNNNNNNNNNNNNNNNNNNNNNNNNNNNNNNNNNNNNNNNNNNNNNNNNNNNNNNNNNNNNNNNNNNNNNNNNNNNNNNNNNNNNNNNNNNNNNNNNNNNNNNNNNNNNNNNNNNNNNNNNNNNNNNNNNNNNNNNNNNNNNNNNNNNNNNNNNNNNNNNNNNNNAUUAUUCUUUUUUGUUUUGUUUUAAUAGCUCUUAUUCAUGUUCCUUAGCGUGGAUUUUAAACAUAUGAAGUCUAACUUUUUCUUUAAAAGAAAUUACCUAUUUAUUUUUUUUGUAACAUAUGUCUGAUUUUUAGAUAUUUACAUUUGAAUUAAAAAAGUAAAUUUUUGUUACCUUUACCGAAAUGAUAAAAAUGUUUGAAUGAAAAAUAAAUACUGUAUCCUAAAAAUAAAUUCUGACCUAUUCAGAUUUUAAAUAAAAAAUAAACACUGGCUUAAUGUCCUUUCAAGUCUCUUGAGUAGUAAUGAAAAUUAAUUUUAUUUAAUCUUUCAAUGUUGGAUUAGGCUUCAAUUGUAUACCAUUGUAUCUUAUGUUUGAAAAUCUUUUAAAGUUUUUUAAAAUUGAGAGAAAAAGAAAAUUGAGAUUAAAAAAUAAUUUAAUUUCAACUACUUAUGAGUUGUUUGACCAUAAACUGUAUUAUAUGUCAAAGAACAUGUUUAACUGGAUAAAAUUGUUGGCUACGUCCUUCAUUAAAAGAGAUUUUAUAAUAUAUUAAAAAUAAUAUAACCAAUUAAUGCAUAUAUUGUGACGCACAUGCAAGCCAAAAGGGAGCACAUGUGGCUAACUAGCAAGCUGUCGGCUUAAAGCAAAGCACAUGCAUGCUAUGUGCCUGUCAUGCAUGAUUGGAGGCAAUGGAUAUAUAUAAAAUAAAGAAUUGAAGCAACUGUCACCAUUUUCAAGAAUCAAACUAAAACAAAGCAAUUCAAAGAGAAAAGAAAAAGAAAGGAGAAGGUGAGAAGGGAAGAAAACAAAAGGAAAAGAGAAGAGGAAAAGAACAAAAGAAGAAAAGAUGAAGAAAGAAGAGGAAAAGAACAGAAGAAUAAAAGAUGAAGAAGAAAAAAUAAAGAAAAGAAAAACCGAGAGUGAAAAAUAAUUUUGAAAAGAGGAAUUGAGAGGAAAUAUUAUAGGAAAGAGAGUUGGAUAGUUAUAUCUAUAUCCAUUAAGUCAGUAGGUAACGUAUUUAAGAAAUUUGAACAAUUAUGAUUUAGUUUAUGUCAUAUGUAAAAGUUUUUAUAUCAGUUCUAACAGUUAAUUUUUGAACCCUAUAUUUUAGGAGAAAUCCAAUAAUUAAGGAAUCUAUAAGAGCUCCAACAAGCCCCGGAGUGAAAAAUGUUUUGUGAGUGGAUUACUAUUAUUACUUAUAUGUAUCCUACAAAGUAUUUAUGCUUGUUAGUAUGAUUUAGUAUCAUGUCAUGAUUAUAUGUACUCAUAUUAUAUGAUUGAUUGAAUAAUGAGAUGUGAUUGCCAGAUACCAUAUGUGUACCCUUCCCCAUAGGCUCUCUGUAUGUGUAUUGAGAGUUAGAUUACUCGGCCCUUGUGAUGUAGUUAAUUCCGCUGAGUAUUGAGAGGUGUUUCCCAUACUUUACUUGUGCAAUGAUGAUUCCAAUGAGUAUUAAGAGUUAUUUCUCCUAGAUAUUAUUUGGUGCAGUUUUAUCAUGUAUAAAUAUAUGAUUUCAUGUUUGCUUGUGUAAUGCGUUUAGUGUGAAGUUAUGUCAUACAAUUAUGUACGGCACUAGAGCGCUAAUUUAUUUAUAUAUAUAUAAUUAUAUCCAUUCAUUUACCCACAAGUAUACUAUUUUCUUAUUUACCCCAUUUCUUUAAGAUUUUCAUAGGAUUUUGUGCAGUUUAGUUUCUAAUCAGUUGAGGUUGGGCCACGACAUGCAUUACUGCAUAACUUAUAUUUUGAGCAUGUUUAUGUUUAUAUAUAUAUAUCCAAAGUGUAUGUAUGUACAGUAAGAUGUAAACUGUUCAAGUUUUGAAUAUAUUUUUGAAUGAGUCACAUGUUAUUAUAUGUUUAUAACAAAGGCCGAGACUAGUGUUAUGCAUUCAUGAAUUAAAUUUAUUUCACAAGCUUUAGAUAUAAGAUCACAUGAUUCACCUCGAAUCCAGCAGAGAGGCUGGGCAGGAAUGUGUCAUGUAUGAUAUGCACGUACUUAGAUUCAAUAUAACCAUUAUUUACGUGAUGAUUUUUCAAAAUAAAUGUACAUAUAUCAUAGUAUGAUUCACUUUUUAUAUGGCAGAUAUGGUACUUAUCAUGAUUCUAAAACUUGUCGCUUAGUUAGAGGCAUUUGUUUUAAAAUUUUGUGCUAAAAGAAGGUCAUUUUAAAUUUCAAAGUGUAAAAUGUAUUUUUAUACAUUUACACAAUACUAAGGAUGAAAUGGUCUUCAACAUAGAUUUUUUUAAUAAAUUUUAAGAGAGCUGACAGAAAGUGGUUAUUUAGAGAAAACAAAAUAGAGAAAUUGAACAAUCGAUGGUGCCUUUAUUUAAUUUAGUAAUAAAAUGCAUCUAGAAAGUAGAAACUGAUGUAGUUCAAAAAGGCGUCUUUUGUUAGAGUAUAGUAGAAGUAAGUAUAUGAAAUAAAAUGUUGGAGAAAUAUUUGUGGAGAAUAAUAAUUGCAGAAAAAGGGAUCAAUAAUUGAUAAAACUUUAUUUUAAAAGUUGGACUAUUGGCACCCGUCUAGUCUCCUCAUCAAACCUUUUUUUUCAGUUAUAUUUAUUUUAUUUCCAAAAAUUUCCUUUUAUUUUCAAAGACGCUCUUUUAGUUUUUCAUUUAAUCUUUUUUUUAUUGUUAAAACUCAAAGUAGUAUUGUGCUAUUUUUCAUCUCUUUUGCAAUCUUAUUGUUAUGCUACAUACAAAUUAAAAAGUUUUCUAGGUGAUAAAGUUUGAAUGCUAAUCAUUAGCUUAAAUAACACAUAUUUUAGAUUGUAGUUUGAAAGUAAUCUUGAGUACGAAAAUAUUUAAUCAAUAAGAAAUAGGAAAAGAAAAAUAGAUUAUGCUAGAUUUAUACAAUUUAUAUUAGUUAGAUAAGAAAUAAUGGUAAGAAAUUUAAAAAAAAAAGGGAUUGAUUAUUAAUGUAAGUAAUUUAUUGGGAAAAAAAAAUCCUACAUGUGUUUAUUUCUUCUUUGCCCUUAACUGUAAUUUUAUUUGAAAUAAGGUUUUAUAAGAAUAACGAAUGAGUGCCAAUAGUUUCAUUCUUAUUUUAAUUAAAAUAUAGGUAAGAAUUGAUGGUGCUUCGAGACACAUUGCAAAUGUGGUUUUUCAUUUAUGAUUAUUAAAUCAAAAUUUGAAUUAGAUCAUCACUGAUCCAAAAUAAACCAUCACCAUUUCAAAUUGAAGCAUAAAACCGUGAAUAGAUACAUCUUUAAAUAAAAGGAUAUAUUUUUAUUAUAUCUGACACUGUUUAAUUAGACAUAUGACAUAUCUUUACAAUCGGACACCUGUUUAAAGCACCAUUUAUUUUGAAAAUAUUCCAAUAUAAAAUAUAUUAUCUGCCUUACAUGAGUAUUUUGCCAAUAAUACAGAGCCACCGCGAGUUCAAAAAUAAUAAAAUAAUAACAUUGCUCACUUACUCGACUGGGCUAGAUUGGGCUGGGCCUGCUAUAAGAAUGUGUUACUAGAACGAAGCUUUGCUUGGAUUAUCACAUUCACAGUGAGGGAAAUUGAAAUUGAUGAUGGCGCUGGCCGCUCAAUUCCUGCUUCGGAUUCCCCAACUCGGAAGGAAAAAUAUAAACUUUCCGUCGUACAAGCAUCGCGGGAAUUAUCAGCCAUUGUUCUUGUCUUGCAAUUACAAUUUACAGCACCAAUGACAAUUGUUCUUCAACUUCUUCUUCUUCUUCUUCGAAGAAUUACUUAGAAUUGACCGACGAUGAGCUGUUUCGCGAAUGCGAAAUGGACGCGUACAAAUCAUCGGGACCAGGCGGUCAGCACCGCAAUAAGCGCAAAUCCACCGUACGUCUCAAGCACGUACCGACCGGCGUCAUAGCGCAGGCCGCCGAAGACCGAUCACAGCACAAGAAUCACGCGUUAGCUUUGUCGCGCCUCCGCACUCUUUUGGCCCUCAAAGUGAGGAGCAGUGUGAAUCUUGAUGCGUAUUGGCCGCCGCCGCAGCUUCUUCAAAUCCUUCCUCCUAAGUCUACUAUUAGAAGUUCAGAAGUUGGUCCACAAUUUGGACCUAACAAUCCUAAAUUUGCUUUGGUAUUACUCUAUUCACUCUUGCUUCGUCUUUUGUUUUCUAUUAAAAUUUAAGUCAUAGUAAUGUUUUUUUUUUUUUUGGUUGACUACAGGGAAUGCAAGCUCUGCUUGAUCUAAUUUUCGCAGUCGAGGGAUCUGUAUCAGAAGCUGCAAAAUUAUUGGGGUAUUGCAUUAAACUUAAUACUCUAUCAAGUGAUAAUUGAACUUUAAAAAGAGAAAUUGCUACAUGUAAUGUGUUUGAUUGGCGUUUAGGUUUCCAAUAUUUUUUUAAUUUAAAAUUUCUCUCAUAUGGUGAUCUUUAAUAUAUGUGGCAGGUUAAGUACUGGAGCGUUGUCACGGUUGAUUCUAUCGGAUGAUUCUCUUCGAGUGGCCGUGAAUGAGUUCAGGACUUCUAAGGUAUGAUAGUGUGUAUUACGAUAAGAUUCAACUGCUGUGGUUUUUCUUAGGAUUUGGAGUUUUCCACGUAAAUCUUGUGUUGUGUGAUUGGUGUAUUCUCCAUUUAAUUUUCUUAUUAAGUUGUUGCUUGAUAAAUUGCUUGGAGUGAUCUUGGGAGGAAGUUCAAUUUCCUAACAUGUAAUUUUUUAAUGGGCAAUCUUCAUUUGGAACAUGAAAAUUUUAAAAAACUUUCCGAUUUGUGCAGGGUAUGAAGCCUCUUAAGUAGGACUUCUUGGGUGCUACUUCUGUGUUGGGCAAAUAUAUAUAUAUAUAUUUUUUCUUUUUUCAGUCACCAUAAUGGGCGUUGUGGUGAAACAACUUACUAAUCACUCUGGACAGGAACGGGCUUCUAUAAGUAAAGCACACCUAUUUCACUCUUUCCCUAGUAUGGAGCUGCUUACCGUUGGGAUGAAGAUGGUAAUAGCUGCUAUAGAAAUUACUUUUCUUCAGGAGGAAAAUUCUCAAUCUUGGUAAAUUUAAAGUUGUACUAGAAGACAAGCUGCCUAUUCAACCAAUGGCUCAAUGUAGCAUUGUACCCUCCUUAGACGAUUAAUUAGAUUGCAUUGCCUUACUUGAAAGUUCCUCAUAACCAACAUCAGGAUGGUUUUGUUUGAAGGCAUGUCGACUAAAAAGCUCAAGAGCGUGAUGAUAUUCUAAUGCCUCCAUCUCGUAUAUUUUCCUCACCCCCCAAUUUCUAAGCACUUGUUUAUUUCUGGUGGUUAUUAUGAUUCGACUCACAGGCAUCAACCAAUCAAGACUUCCAAUUAUAGAUUCUAAUUGGCUGAAGCAAGUCACAUCAUCAAAAACAAUCAGAACCUUCAUGCGGCUGAGCCUUCUAAAAUUGAGGUCAAUACCAGGAAUCACAUUUUCAUCCUUCAAUAAAUUUGAAAGAAGUUUUUGUCGCAAGCAAGCUAAUCCUCCCGUUCUUUGUGACUCUCCUCUAACAUUUUCAAGGAAGCAAGAACCUUCAAAAUAUCUGGAGAUUUUGUCGAAAGUAGCUCUAGCGACUGUUGUUUUGCCUAUACCACCAAUGCCCCAAAUCCCUAAAGCAUAAACAUCUUUCGACUGAACACCUAAUAAGGAUUCAAUUUCCUCAACUCUUGAUUCUACUCCAACCAGCUGGUUUUUGUUAUCAUUCGGCCGAAAAACUUGAUCCAGCAGUCUCUUUGAAAUGUGAUUAACAGCUUCGUUUAUAAGUUCCGAUUCAGGCCUACCAAAUACAUAAAAUUAGCAGCAGUAACUUCAAAUAGAAGGGAAUUGCAUCAACUAUGAAAUAAGGGAGAUUGCUAGUUUUCCAAUUGAAAUUAAUAUAUACCACUACAAUCUUCCUAUAAAUUAAUAACUCUUAAAUUAUAGGAGAAUGUGUGACUUUUUUUUUUUUUUUCUGAUGGAGGUAUGUGAGGUUGAAAUUGCUUAAAAACGACAUACCACCAUUAAUUUUGUUAAAUAUAUUGUAAAAUUAUCGGGCUUUUAUUAUUAAUUCUGUCAAAAUUCUUUCAUAUAUAAUUAUCGUGGUUCAAAAGUUGGGAAGUCAAGAAGCCUAGAAUUUUAUACCUAAAAAAAUUUAAAAUUGUAGUUUAGCAUCCGGAAAUUUAACUAAGAGUGCUGCAUGAAUUUUAUUUACAGUGUUAAAUAUUAGCAUGAGAAAUUAAAAGUAACUUUUCACCUGAUGCUACGAUAAUGAAAUCCAGACAAACCAGCCGCUUCUCUCAAUCCCUUCCUCCAUGUAUGCAGCUUCUCCGAAUUUUGCUCGAAUCUUUCUUCAAGCUUUGAAAAUGAAUCCCCAAAACUCCAUGUUUGGUUACGUCUGAUGGAUCAACGCGAUAGAAAACCGGUAACACAAUCUGUGCAUUCUCUUUCUUGCACUCGAGGAUCUCCGCGAGUUCAUCAAGACACCAUCUGGAAGAAGCGUAGUCUUCAGAGAAAAUGAUAACUGAAAUAGCUGAUGCUUUAAUCGCUUUCACAAGUGACUCUGAAAUUUCAUAUCCUCUGUUAAGUUGGUCAUCAAUGAAAGUUUGGAUAUUUUGUCGAGACAGGGCUGAAUAGAGAUGGCUAGUAAAGUUGUCGCGGGUGUCUUCUCCUCUGAAACUAACAAAAACAUCAUACUUCUUGUUGUUUCCAGAAAAAGAAGCCAUAAUCAACAGAAGCAGUUGAAUUGAUUAGAGAGAGAUUGUGAUCAAAUGAAAACAAUUACAAAGCCAAAAUCUGCUGUACGGCCAAGGCGGAUGUACGGUACAGCAGAUGAAAAAUAAAUAAUAUAUACUAAAAAUAUUUCUAUUCAGUAAAUUUAUUUCCUAAACUACGAAGCCUAAUCCCUUUUACUCAUUUCGAACUUUGGAGAACAAAUUAACAAAUCUAUUUUAAUUUACUUUUUGUGACUUAAAUUUUUUUAUUAUAUUUGAUCAUAAAGAUUGAUUUGACAUAAGUCUAAAUUGAUUAUUUUAUCCUUAUAAGGUAAAACUAAUUCUUUAACUUCAAUAUAUUGACCUGAUAUCUCAUUUUCCAAGCAUCCUGGACAAUGAUUCGUGGAAUAUUCAAGGGUUAUUGGAAUGCCCACCUAAUUUUUCGACUUGGCAGAUUUUUUCAGUUGAAAUUAUAGACACGGCGUUAUGAGAGUUAAGACUUUUGGCACUCUUCCGUUACUUUCGUAGAACUCCUACUCUAUGUUAUGAGUUAGACACGGCGUUAUGAGUAAGACUAUUGGCACUCUUCCUUGAAGUUUUCGUUAUAAUUUUUCAAUUUCAUCUCAUUGUCCAAGCACCGUGCACUGCACGAUAAUUUCACUGCUUUUUAGACUUUUAGCUGAAGUUUCCCCAUGAACACCAUAGUUUUCAACACAUGGCUUUUGUCCUUUUAAUUGUCAAAUUGAGUGGGUCAUGACUAUCAACCAUUAGUAGUAGGUUGAUAUUUUAAUUUUUGCCCGCCAAUUUUUCUUAUCAGUCAUCAUCUCUCCAUUAAUUGCAUUUAAUUUUAAAAUUAUCCUUAUUUAUCAUUUUUGUUUGAAUAAUUCUUAUUCAUAUUCCUUCGAGUUAUUUGUUAAACGUGUGACGUCUAAUUUUCUUUUUUUUUUAAAUUAAACUUUUGUCUAAUAUAUGAAAUGUCUCAAUAGAAAGUAAAUGCUAUAUCCCAAAAUUAUCUCUAUUAAAUAUAGUUAUUUCCUAAAUUGUAAAAUAUAAUCCCUUUGUUCAUUUUGAAUAAAAAAUCUGAUUUAAUUCAAAAAGCGUCUUUUGAAUUAUAGUGUCGUUACUCAAAGAAAAAUAAUUUCAAAAUUCUUAACAAAUAUGUAUUUUUUUAGUUAUUAUUUUUAAAAAUUUAAAUUUUUUUAUAUGUUAAUAAAUUUUAUUUGGCCCAUGUUUUUCACCUCAUUCUCUGAUAAAUUUUAGUGGAGUGAAGAACUGAAGAUCAAGAAUCCCCAAAUGAAGAUCAAUUUUUCUAUCCACAUCCUGUUACACAUUUAUCUUUUUUAUAAUAGAUUCUUACAUGUAAUUUUAGAAUGGAAAAAGGCUUCCCUACCACCACCCGCACAUAUGCCUUCUUUUUAUGGGCAAUUAUCAAAUUAAUCCUUACUAAAUUUUUUGUUGGCUAAUGAUAUCUCCAAAUCUGCCCCAUUUUUUAAAAAUAAUUACAAAAAGUACACGUUAUUUAAAAAUAAAUAAAUAAAUAAAACUUUGGAGAACAAAUUACCAAAUCUAUCUUAAUUUACUUUUUGUGACUUAAAUUUUUUUUUAUUAUGUUUGAUCAUAAAGAUUGCUUUGACAUAAGUCUAAAUUGAUUAUUUUAUCCUUAUAAGGUAAAACUAAUUCUUUAACUUCAAUAUUUUCUAAUUUUAUACCAAAUUCAUUAUUUUUAAUACUACUUUAUUAGUAUGAUUAUAAAACAUUAAUUAAACAAACAUAAUGUCUCUCUGGCACAAUACUCAUGUAAAUUAUUAGCUUGUCAAAUUUAUAUCAUUUAUUUGUAAGGUAGUGAAAAUAAUAAUUAGAUUUCAUUUAAAAAUAUUAGUUCACAUAAUUAAAUACAUAAAUUAUUAGAUACAAUAACUCAUGUUUGUUAGGCAAUUUGUUCAUUUUAUAUCAUAAUAAUAAAAUAGAAAAAUAAAAUUUAUAUAAGAGUUUAUGAUCAAAUAGAGUCAAAGAAAUCUAAGAAGAAAGGUAAUAGAAGGAUUUAAUUGAUUAACUAUACAAAAUUUUUAUUAAUUUGUAUUUUUUUAAAAUAUUGUGAAUUCAUUAUAAUUAUGUUGUAAAGUGCUGUGAAUUUACAAAAAUAAUGGGAUGGAAAUAUCCCUACCCUUUUUUUUUUUGUUUUUUUCCUUUGAAGCUAAAGAUUCAACACUUAGUGAAGACACCACGUACGUGUUGCCCACAAAGAUUCCAGAGAGGACGUUUGCCGCCACUGAAUUUUUGAAUUUUUUUUUACUAUGUUUUUAAUGAAUAAAAUGUAUGACAAAUGAUAUUUUAUUUUAAUUGUGUUAUAUAACAUGCGAAUUUUCUCUUGUCUGUAUUCAGUCCAUUGUUCAUUAUCCUAAAAUACUAGAGUCAAAACUAAAAAACACUAUGACGUGUAUAUAUUGGUGCUGCUGGUAAAGACUGAGGAGCAAUUUACUGUCUAUGCAAAUAAUGAAUCUGUGGAUGAAACGCUAGUAGGCAUUAAUAUUCUGCACUUAUGUGCCAUUUAAAUUUCUUACAGAAAUGGCCACUCAUAAUUCAUGAAUUGACAUCAAAACUACAGAUCAUACGAGAAGCCGCCACUGAUGAAGGGGCACUUGAUGCAUUUGUUUUGAUCGUGACAGGCCCAUCGGGGCUGAACCCAGUGCAAUUGAUGCCAUCAAUCUCUAUACCUGUGCUAGUUUUAUGGGGUGAUGAGGAUCCAUUCACACCCGUCGAUGGACCUGUUGGUAAAGCUGCUUCCUUAAUUGGUUGGCUGAAACAUCUGAUUGCUGAGGAAUUUACUUUCUUAUCAACAAGUUUUGAUAAGCAUUUAUAUAUCAUUCCUAUUGUAAAAUGACAAACAAUUCUAGUAUUUACAUUGUAUAUAUCAAUUCUUUUUCAACUGCUUGAAUAUCUUUUGGCACCGAAAGGAAUGUAGGAGAUACUAAUCUCUGACGUGUUACAGAAGCUCCAAAUUGAUUCAAGAAAUGUACCAAAUUAUUCAAUAAAAAGUCUAACUUGCUUCAAAAAGCCAAAUUCAGCACAAUCUAUAUUGCUCAUGUUAAUGAUAUGUGAAUGAAAGGAUUCAAUUUUGUACAUGAAAAAGAUACAGCAAUCUAAAGAAUAGAGAACGGUGAUUUAGUAAUUUACAUUGCUCAUGUUAAUAGGGUUCAAUUUUUCACAUGGAAAAAAUAAAAUAAUCUCAAUAGAAAUAUAAGUUCACGGGCAUCUUUAAUCCUUUCCUUACAGGUCAGUUUUUUUAAAUGUAAAUUCUAGCCAUAUGACGAUACCAUGUUAACUAUGGAAUCAAAUGCACCAUUCCGAUAAUGGAAUUGUUAUAGAUACUUGAAAAAGUGCAUACAUGUUUAAGCAAAUGGAUUCACAACACAAAUGAGUUGAGUCAAUCCUGUUCUUUUUUUUUAAAAAAAAAAAAUCAGUAUACAAAUAUAUUUCUUAAAAUAUAUAAGAUUUGAUGGUGUUUUAACUGUUCCCUCUUUAUGGCUUUUGCUUCCACAUGAUGAAACUUUCCCAUAUACAACAAUUUAGAUUUAAGAAAGUAGAAAAUUAUCAAAUGUGAUUGUGUUAUGUACAUGAGAGUUGAUACAGUGCGCCAACGGGGUGAGUGACAUAUUUUCAUUGAUAGAGAUAUGGGCCCACAACAUAGCUCCACCAAUAAGAACUUGUUGUGCGUCCUGGUUUAUAAGUUACGUGCUCUCCUAACUAAGUAGAUGUGUUUCGGGUUGCAAAGCUCAAUAACAAAAUAGUCAUGGGUUGUGUGCGCAAAGUAGGAAAGAAGGCUGUUGAAUCUGGUUCUUGGCUUUGCUUUGAUGAAGAACCAGAUCCUCCCAAGUUUCUCAGCCAAGAUUAAUCAAGAUGCAGUUUCAGUUUAGAUCAAUUUCAGAGAAUCAACUAAACCCAACAAAGCUCGUAACAAAAAGAUUAAUUACAAACACAGAAACCAAGAAACCAGCAAGAAAACCAAUCACACUAAAACAGAGCACAAGCUUUAACGUGGUUCAGCCAUCAAUGGCUUACAUCCACGAGUGAAUUCCUUAGGCAGCUUUAUUGAAUGAUUCAAGAAGUUUGUUACAGAGAUUCUAAGAACAAGAACAAGUAAAACACUUCCUCUCAAAGUUCCCUCAAUCUCUAUUACGCUCGAUGCCUCCAAAACUAGAAGGCUGCAGCUUAUAUACCAGUCUUGUAACAGCUUCAACAACCCAGAUCAUACAGCUCCUUGACACGUGUGCUAUGAGUCUGUUAUUUAAUGAACUCAGCUUCAGCUAACGAUCACGUGAAAGACUCGUGAUCUUAAUUAAGUUGAGUGUAUUCAAAACGAUCUCAUAUGUUGCUGUUUUGAACUAAGAGCUGGCUGUGCUUCUCACGUGAGCUACUUGAAGCACUGAACAAUGCUGGAAACGCUGUCGUUUGUUGGCCAAGUUGUUUGAAUUCACCUUUCAGCCAACAAUACUCCACCUUGAAUCAAACACCCUGCAACUGAUACAUUCACUAACUGAUUCAUAUCAGGUUUUGCAGAUACCAACUAAGUCCAAACAUUUCUUGAACUUAGUUGCAGGAACCACCUUCGUGAGCAUGUCAGAGGGAUUGUCAUCGGUAUGUAUUUUAACCAUCUUGAUAACUCCCCUGGAGACUUCAUUUAUGAUGAAGUGAAGUUUGAUAUCAAUAUGUUUGGUCUUCUCAUGGUAAGCUGGAUUCUUACACAAAUGCAGUGCACUGGAGCUAUCACAGAAAAUUGGUACAGACUCUUGUUUUAAACCGAGCUCAGUGAUUAAGCCCUUAAGCCAAAUGGCCUCCUUUGCAGCUUCAGUGGCAGUUGUAAAUUCUGCUUCUGUUGUGGAAAGUGCCACUACAUGCUGCAAGUUUGCCUUCCAAUUUAUCAGGCAGCCAUUCAACAUAAACAAGUAUCCUGUGAGUGAUCUUUUUCUCUCUAGAUCUCCUGCAUAGUCAGAAUCUACAUAGCCCCACAACCCUUCUUCUGUUCCAGAGUUCUUUCCAUAUACCAGACCAACAUUCAAAGUACCCUUUAGAUACCUUAGUAUCCAUUUCACCCCUUUCCAGUGUUCUUUGCCUGGAGAUGCCAUGUAUCUGCUGACAACACUCACAGCAUGUGAGAUGUCAGGCCUAGUCAGCACCAUGGCAUACAUAAGGCAUCCUACUGCCUUUGCAUAUGGAAUAUUGGCCAUCUCACGUCUUUCUUCUUCAGACUUUGGACAAUAUAGAUUGCAAAGCUUGAAGUGUGCUGCUAAGGGGCCUUGUACAGGUUUAGAAUCCUUCAUAUCAAAAUUUUCCAGUAUUUUCUUCAAGUAUUUCUCUUGAGACAAAAAUACCAACCCUUCACUUUUGUUCCUUCUUAUAUCAACUCCCAAUAUCCUUUUAGCACUUCCUAAAUCCUUCAUGUCAAAAGUAGUGCCAAGUAAUGUCUUUAGAGCAUAUAUUUCAGACCUUUUUUCACAAGCAAUCAAUAUAUCAUCUACAUAUAGCAGUAGAUAGAUAUGUUUCUUAUGACUUAGCUAUUUAAAGUAGACACAGCAAUCGUAAUUGCACCUCUGAAAUCCAUGAGUGGUCAUAAACUCAUCAAAUUUGAGGUACCAUUGUCUGGGAGAUUGCUUCAGGCCAUAUAGGGAUUUCUUAAGCAAGUAUACAUAAUCUCUUCUGUCAGGAGCUUUAUAUCCUUCUGAUUGACUCAUGAAAAUUUCUUCCUGAAGAUUUCCAUGCAAAAAAGCAGUUUUAACAUUAAACUGUUCCAGCUCCAGAUUCUGUGUUGCUGUUAUAGCCAUCAGCACUCUUAUGGAAGCAUGCCUUACUACAGGGGAGAAAACUUCCUUAAAAUCAACACCCUCCAUUUGAGUGUACCCUUUUGCAACUAACCUAGCCUUAAACCUCCUUGGUUCAGCCGCAGUCAUACCCUCUUUGAUUCUGUAUAUCCACUUGCACCCAACAAUCCUCCUAUUCUUAGGUCUUUUAACCAGUUCCUAGGUACAAUUCUUGUACAGUGAGGUCAUUUCUUCAUCCAUAGAUUUCUUACAUUCUUUUGCAUACUGACAGUUAGUGGCCUCUUUGAAAUUCCGUGGUUCUUCAGCAUUUAUCUCAUGAGCAGAAUGUAAUGCAAAAGCAGUCAGAUCAUCAUAGCCAUACCUCUUAGGUGCUUUGCUUUGUCUCUUCUGUCUAUCUCUUGUCAGUUGAUAAUCCAUUACUUGUGAUUGAGUUGAUCCAGCUUCUUGAAGUGACUUAUGUCUUCCAAUAUCAUCAGCACUUUCAGCUGAUUCUGUAUCAUCAUUCUGAUUCAGAUUGCCAGGUGUCUCUACCUCAAAAUGUUCAUCAUGAACUUGAUCAGCUCCAACACUGUUUCUUUGAAUACUCUCCACUGCUGCUUCCUCAUUGAACUUGACAUCUCUGCUUACUAUGCACCUGGGUGGAAAGAGAUCAGUACACCAAAGCUUGUAACCCUUGGUUCCCUCUGGAUACCUAAUGAACACACAUUUCUGUGCUCUGGGUGCUAGUUUUCCUUGGCUUAUGCUCAACCAAACACCUUAAGGUCUUUAUAACUGGCUUGUUUACUAUACCAGAGCUCAAAAGGUGUCUUGAAUUUAAUGGCAGUGGAGGGGCUCAAAUUUACCAGGUAGCAAGCUGUGUUGAGAAUCUCAGCCCACAAAUUCUUAGGUAGCUUGGCUUGAAUCAUCAUGCACCUCAUCUUAUCCAUGAGAGUCAUAUUCAUCCUCUCGGCUAAGCCAUUCUGCUGAGGUGUCAUUCUUACAGUUUUAUGCCUUGCAAUACCUUCCUUUGCACAAAAUUCAUCAAACACCUGGUUGCAAAACUCCAAUCCAUUAUCAAUCCUCAACUUCUUUACUGUUUUUCCAGUCUGUUUUUGAAUUUUCCAGUUCUUGAAUUUUUCAAACACCUGUUCUUUACUCUUGAGCAUAUAAAUCCAGACUCUUCUUGAAAAGUCAUUAAUUAUAGACAAAAAAAUAUCUUGCACCUCCUAAUGAUACUACUUGUGUAGGUCCCCACAAGUUUGAGUGUAUGUAAUCCAGAAUGCUUCUAGUAGUGUGAACUGAUGACUUGAAACUAGUUCUUGUAGAUUUCCCUAGGACACAAUCUUCACAAAACAUCAUCUCACCAAUUGUAUCACUACCUAACAGCCCCUGUUUUGACAACUCUUUAAAGCCUCUCAGACUCAUAUGUCCAAGUCUUAAGUGCCAUAGCCUAGUUUUGUCAACACUAGAGCUAGAUGACACUGACACCAUCCCUGUCACAGUUGUCCCUUCUAACACAUAGAGACCAUUCUUCCUGAUUCCUUUCAACAGAACCAAUGACCCCUUUACAACACUCAUUAUACCCUGCUCGACCUUAACAACACAACCUAUCUGAUCCAACAUCCCCAGUGAGAUCAAAUUCCUUUUUAAAUCAGGUACAUGCCUCACUUGUUUAAGUUCAAGAAUUGAGUUAUCAUGCAACUUCAGUUUAAUAACCCAGAUCCUUAUAACUCUACAGAUUGCAUUAUUCCCCAUCAUCACCCUACCACCAUCAUAUUCUUGAUACUCAGAGAAAUGAUGUUUAAAAGGGCACAUAUGAAAAGAACACCCUGAGUCAAGCACCCACUUACCUUUCUGAUCAACAUCAGAGGCAAUUAGGACUCCAGCUGACUCAUAACCUUCUUCUUCAACUACUGCUGCAUCACCAUUUUCACUUCUUUGCUCUUUGUGCUGUUUGUUCUUCCUUUCUGGACAAUCUCUCUUAAAGUGACCUUCCUUAUGGCACUGGAAGCACUUAAGAGUCUUGUUCUUGUCUUUGGCCUUAGGGCACAUAUGAAAAGAACACCCUGAGUCAAGCACCCACUUACCUUUCUGAUCAACAUCAGAGGCAAUUAGGACUCCAGCUGACUCAUAACCUUCUUCUUCAACUACUGCUGCAUCACCAUUUUCACUUCUUUGCUCUUUGUACUGUUUGUUCUUCUUUUCUGGACAAUCUCUCUUAAAGUGAUCUUCCUUAUGGCACUGAAAGCACUUAAGAGUCUUGUUCUUGUCUUUGGCCUUUCCUUGCUUCUUUUUCUUUUCUGUGUUCUUGUAAUGCUGACCCUUUACAGUUAACCCUUCCCCAGUUUCUUGAUCAAGAUUUUGUCUCUUUUCUUGCAGCUCCCUUGUGUUUAAAGCUGACUUAACUUCAUCCAGUGAGAGAGUUUGUCUCCCAUACAUGAGUGCAUUAAUAAAAUUCUUGUAAGACCCUGGAAGAGAGCUAACCAGCAGCAAAGCUUUUCCCUCAUCAUUUAAAGCUUCAUCAAUUGUUGCAAGUGUAUCACACACUUGAUUGAAUUCAUCAAUGUGCUUAUCCAGUGAUGAGCCUUCUGUCAUCUUUAGAGUGAACAUCCUUUUCUUGAUGUACAGAUGUCUCAUUGACAACUUCUCUGAUUAUAGAAUCAGCAAGGCUAAGGAUUAUGGUACCUUUUGCCUUCUUGUCAAUUUCAGCCAUCUGCUCUGGAGUCUUUGAAGAUGAUACUCCCUUCCCUUCUAUCUUAGUUGAAGCUUCAAGUGCAUCACCAAGACCUUGAGUGACCAAGAGAGCCUGGAUUUUAACAUUCCACAUGUUGAAGUCGUUUCUGCCAUUAAACUUCUCCAAAUCGACCUUCUGAGUAGCCAUACCUGAAUCUUGGUUAAGAACCAAGCUCUGAUACCAAUUGUUGAAAUCUGGUUCUUUUCUUUGCUUUGAUGAAGAACCAGAUCCUCCUAAGAUUCUUAGCCAAGAUUAAUCAAGAUGCAAUUUCAGUUUAGAUCAAUUUCAGAGAAUCAACUAAACCCAACAAAGCUCGUAAUGAAAAGAUUAAUUACAAACACAGAAACCAAGAAACCAGCAAGAAAACCAAUCACACUAAAACAGAGCACAAGCUUUAACGUGGUUCAACCAUCAAUGGCUUACAUCCACGAGUGAAUUCCUCAGGCAGCUUUAUUGAAUGAUUCAAGAAGUUUGUUACAGAGAUUCUAAGAACAAGAACAAGUAAAACACUUCCUCUCAGAGUUCCCUCAAUCUCUAUUACGCUCGAUGCCUCCAAAACCAGAAGGCUGCAGCUUGUAUACCAGUCUUGUAACAGCUUCAAUAAACCUAGAUCAUACAGCUCCUUGACACGUGUGCUAUGAGUCUGUUAUUUAACGAACUCAGCUUCAGCUAAUGAUCACGUGAAAGACUCGUGAUCUCACUUAAGUUGAGUGUAUUCAAAACGAUCUCAUAUGUUGCCGUUUUGUACUAAGAGCUGGCUGUGCUUCUCACGUGAGCUACUUGAAGCACUGAACAAUGCUGGAAACGCUGUCGUUUGCUGGCCAAGGUGUUUGAAUUCACCUUUCAGCCAACAAAGGCCAAUAAUUUUAAUUUUACAAUAUACAUCAUAUGCUUUUCAUACAAUGUACUCUUCAUCUAAUAAGGUAAAGUUCAAUACUCUAGUGUGAAUUUGUGUUACAUGCACUAGAUCCCUCGAAAGUUAUUACAUGAAUGUUUUGUUCCAAGAACCGAUUUUGACAUUUUCUCCUAUUAUUAAUAGUGAUUAGAAAAAGGAAAGCAAUAAAAAUACAUUCAUGAAAAUCUCAGUCUUCUUCGUUAUAGUUGAAACAUGUGCUUGGAUCUUCCAUUGAAUUCACAGAGUCUGGGAAGCAAACAAAAUGGAUCCCACAUUUUUUCACCCGGCAGCACUCACACUUCAAAGGCGGAAAAACAUUAAAGUGGACUGCCUCAGGAAUGGAAUUGCAUUUCCAAAAUCCAUUAAAAUCCUCUUCACAAAAUAAAUAGUACCCAAAAUGUAAGUGAUGAUGGAAAUUGAAAUUGAUGAUGGCGUUGGCCGCUCAAUUCCUGCUUCGAAUUCCCCAACUCGGAAGGAAAAAUAUAAACUUUCCGUCGUACAAGCAUCGCGGGAAUUAUCAGCCAUUGUUCUUGUCUUGCAAUUUACAGCACCAAUGACAAUUGUUCUUCAUCUUCUUCUUCGAAGAAGAAGAAUUACUUAGAAUUGACGGAAGAUGACCUGUUUCACGAAUGCGAAAUGGACGCGUACAAAUCGUCCGGACCAGGCGGUCAGCACUGCAACAAGCGCGAAUCAGCCGUACGUCUCAAGCACGUGCCGACCGGCGUCAUAGUGCAUGCCGCCGAAGACCGGUCGCAGCACAAGAAUCGCGCGUCAGCUUUGUCGCACUCUUUUGGCCCUCAAAGUGAGGAGCAGUGUGAAUCUUGAUGCGUAUUCUCCGCCGCCACAGCUUCUUCAGCUUCUUCAAAUCCUUCCUCCUAAGUCUACUCGUAAUGUUUUUUUUUUUUUUUUGUUAACUUCAGGGAAUGCAAGCUCUGCUUGAUCUAAUUUUCGCAGUCGAGGGAUCUGUAUCAGAAGCAGCAAAAUUCUUGGGGUAUUGCAUUAAGCUUAAUACUCUAUCAAGUGAUAAUUGAACUUUAAAAGGAGAAAUUGCUAUAUGUAAUGUGUUUGAUUGGCGUUUAGGCUUCCAAUAUUUUUUUAAUUUAAAAUUUUUCUCAUAUGGUGAUCUCUUAUAAAUGUGGCAGGGUAAGCACUGGAGCAUUGUCACGGUUGAUUCUAUCGGAUGAUUCUCUUCGAAUGGCGGUGAAUGAGUUCAGGACUUCUAAGGUAUGCUAAUUCAUAGCUGAUAGUGUGUAUUACGAUAAGAUUCAACCUGUUGAUUAAUUUAAAAUUGUUAUCUUCUUUCUUAUUUUCGCAACAAAUAUAAUACUUGAGUAAGAGUAUUUGCUUUUUAACUUUUGUGCAACAAAUAUAAUAAGUCUGUUUUUUGUUGUUGAGUGUCUGCGUCAGUGCCUGAUGGCAUAUUUUUAAGUAGCUUUAAAGCAUAUUUGGCUCUUUGUUUAUGAAUAAUGUUCAAUAGCAACCUGCCCCAUCUGCUGUACGGCCAAGGCGGAUGUACGGUACAGCAGUCUAUCUUAAUUUACUUUUUGUGACUUAAAUUUUUUUAUUAUAUUUGAUCAUAAAGAUUGAUUUGACAUAAGUCUAAAUUGAUUAUUUUAUCCUUAUAAGGUAAAACUAAUUCUUUAACUUCAAUAUUUUCUAAUUUUAUACCAAAUUCAUUAUUUUUAAUACUACUUUAUUAGUAUGAUUAUAAAACAUUAAUUAAACAAACAUAAUGUCUCUCUGGCACAAUACUCAUGUAAAUUAUUAGCUUGUCAAAUUUAUAUCAUUUAUUUGUAAGGUAGUGAAAAUAAUAAUUAGAUUUCAUUUAAAAAUAUUAGUUCACAUAAUUAAAUACAUAAAUUAUUAGAUACAAUAACUCAUGUUUGUUAGGCAAUUUGUUCGUUUUAUACCAUAAUAAUAAAAUAGAAAAAUAAAAUUUAUAUCAGAGUUUAUGAUCAAAUUGAAAUAACCCGUCCCGCACCCCCAAGGCUAGUCAAUCUAAACUCGUAUAAUCGAAUCGAUGAUAAUUAUGAUAGCUAAUAAUUUUAUCAAAAAUUCGACAGAAUCUCUCCUAUAAAUAAAGCAUCCCCAAACCUGCAAUUAACAAAACAAUACUCCCAAAAUAAUUCAAUAUCCAUCCAUCCUUCAUAACCAACUUCUCAAGUCAACAUACCAAAUACCACCCAAAUCAUUCUAAUAUUAAAAUAUAAUGAUUAUCCUUAAUUACAAAAUAUAACAAAUAAAUAUAAUUUGUAAUAUCCCAAAUAUCAAAAUAUUAAAUUUACGACUCCUAGCACCAUCACGUGGCUGCAAUUUCAAAUCUAACUAUCAUUGUUGGGUCGAUUGAUGUACCUGCAAAUCUCCUGUGGGGAGGAAAAAAUAUAAUAAAAACGGGGUGAGUAUAAAACUCAGUGAGCUCACUGCUGUACCGUACAUCCACCUUGGCCGUACAGCAGAGCUAAUUACUGUGAAAUUGGGAGAAAAACAAAAAAAUCUACUCCCAUAUCUAUAUGAAAAGAUUAGGUAACUUCUGACCUUAAAACUUUUACUGUUCAUCAUAAUUGGUAUGGUCUUUGUUUGGCAUCAUCAAGCCCCAAAUGUGAUGAAACAUUUUGAAUUUCUUAUUGAUCCAGCCUUCACUUUAGUAUAAUGUAUACACCAUACCUGCACAUCCAUAUUUCAAAUGGUUUACUGGUCUCUGGCCUAAAGAGAGGGAAAUUGAAAGACUUGUGAGACAAUCCUCAUGGCUUUGUUGACAUCAAUUUGGUGGUUGAUUGAGAAAUGAAGGAUCAUACAUAUACAUAUACAUA